GCAGAGAAAGUAAGCUUUAUACGAUCUUGUUAUGGAAGCAAUAAAAGCGACGGACUGCAUAAUAAAGGUCCAUAUACAAGUGGUAAUAUAAAGUGACGUUCUUUUGCAUUAAGAUUUUGUGCAUCCAACCCUAAACGCGCAUGACAACCUCUGCUUCCCUCUGCUAAGGGCCUAUCUUUUACUUUAUGUUUUUACUUUAUGCUUGAGUCAAGGUGAUCUUCACCUUUCCCUUUUUCAUUUUAUCCUUUGGCAAGCUCCUCGUGUUUGAAAGAUCUUGAUAUAUAUAUCCAAUUGGAUGUAAGUUAGCAUGAAUUAUUAUUGUUGACAUCACCUAAAGGUGAAUACGUUGGGAGGCAACACAAUAAGCCCCUAUCUUUCUCAUUGUCCGAUUGAAACUUCAUAACCACAAGUAUUGCAUGAGUGUUAGCAAUUGUAGAAGACUACAUGAUAGUUGAGUAUGUGGACUUGCUGAAAAGCUCUACUCUUGAUUCUUUCUGAUGUUAUGAUAAAUUGCAAUUGCUUCAAUGACUGAGAUUAUAGUUUGUUAGUUCUCGAUGAAGUUUCUGAACCAUACUUGACAUUGUGAAUUGAUUGUUACUUGAUCAUGAUGCCCUCAUGUCCAUAUUUUAUUUUUUUAUCGACACCUCUAUCUCUAAACAUGUGGACAUAUUUUUCGAUUUCGGCUUCCGCUUGAGGACAAGCGAGGUCUAAGCUUGGGGAGUUCAUACGUCCAUUUUGCAUCAUGCUUUUAUAUCAAUAUUUAUUGCAUUAUGGGCUGUUAUUACACAUUAUAUCUCAAUACUUAUGGCUAUUCUCUUUUAUUUUACAGGGUUUACCAUGAAGAGGGGGAAUGCCGGCAGCUGGAAUUCUGGCUGGAAAAGGAGCAAAUAUUGGAAACACAUUCUGCACAGCUCCAAAAUCCUGAAACUCCACGGAAGUUAUUUUUGGAAUUAAUAAGAAUUAUUGAGCAAAGAAAACACAAGAGGGGGCCCACACCCUAGCCAAGAGGGUGGGGGGCGCGCCCACCACUACUGUGCACGCCCCCUGUCUCCUGGGCCCCCUGGUGGCCCUCCGGUGCCCAUCUUCUGCAAUAUGAAGGCUUUUACCCUGGAAAAAAUCAGAAGCAAGCUUACGGGACGAAACUCCGCCGCCACAAGGCGGAACCUUGGCAGAACCAAUCUAGGGCUCCGGCAGAGCUGUUCUGCUGGGGAAACUUCCCUCGGGGAGGGGAAAUCAUCACCAUCGUCAUCACCGAUGAUCCUCUCAUCGGUAGGGGGUCAAUCUCCGUCAACAUCUUCACCAGCACCAUCUCCUCUCAAAACGCUAGUUCAUCUCUUGUAUCCAAUCUUGUAUCAAAACCACAAAUUGGUACAUGUGGGUUGCUAGUAGUGUUGAUUACUCUUUGUAGUUGAUGCUAAUUGGUUUACUUGGUGGAAGAUCAUAUGUUCAGAUCCUUAAUGCAUACUAAUACUCCUCUAAUCAUGAACAUGAAUAUGCUUUGUGAGUAGUUACUUUUGUUCCUGAGGACAUGGGUGAAGUCUUGCUAUUGGUAGUCAUGUGAAUUUGGUAUUCGUUCGAUAUUUUGAUGAGAUGUAUGUUGUCUCUCCUCUAGUGGUGUUAUGUGAACGUCGACUACAUGACGUUUCACCAUUAUUUGGGCCUAGAGGAAGGCAUUAGGAAGUAAUAAGUAGAUGAUGGGUUGCUAGAGUGACAGAAGCUUAAACCCUAGUUUAUGCUUUGCUUCAUAAGGGGCUGAUUUGGAUCCAUAUGUCUAAUAAUGUGGUUAGGUUUACCCUAAUACUUCUUUUGUAGUUGUGGAUGCUUGCAAUAGGGGUUAAUCAUAAGUGGGAUGCUUGUCCAAGUAAGGACAGUACCCAAGCACAGGUCCACCCACAUAUCAAAUUAUCAAAGUACCGAACGUGAAUCAUAUGAGCGUGAUGAAAACUAGCUUGACGAUAAUUCCCAUGUGUCCUCGGGAGCUCUUUUCUCAUUAUAAUAAAUUGUCCAUGCUUGUCCUUUGCUACAAAAAGGAUUGGGCCACCUUGCUGCACUUUAUUUACUUUCAUUGCUUGUUACCCGUUACAAUUUAUCUUAUCACAAAACUAUCUGUCACCUACAAUUCCAGUGCUUGCAGAGAAAACCUUACUGAAAACCGCUUGUCAUUUCCUUCUGCUCCUCGUUGGAUUCGACACUCUUACUUAUCGAAAGGACUAUGAUAGAUCCCCUAUACUUGUGGGUCAUCAGCUGCCAUGCAGCAUAUCUGAUGCCGCACAGUUCUAUCGAGCCGAAGAAAGGAGCACUGCGAAGAAGCUCUUUUGGUCGCAGUAUCUGGCGCCGAAGUAUCCAGUGCCUUUUGCCGAUCAACUGAAGCAGCUAAUCGAACUGCAUAAGGUAGACGAACUAGCCAUGAAGGAUUUAAUUAUCCGGCUAUGGCCUGCCGAGCCAAUUCCUAGCAGUUACUUCGGGCUCGUAAAGCGGCUUGUGAGUGCCUGCCCUCGACUUGAAGUCAUCAAGCGGUCGGUCUGUAUGGAGGGUGAGCGAAUGGCCUUCGCCCGCGCGAAGGUGCAUUGGGUGAAGAUGGAUGCUGAAAAGCUGAUGACCGAGGGACCAUCGGAGGGGAAGGAGCACCGCAAGCCCGAGUUAUAUUAUGAUAGUGUCCUAAAAGGAUCCCGCCUUGCGGCGGAGCAAUGCUCCAAGGACAUUAUAUUUCCAUGAACACAGUCAUGUUGUCCUUUGUAAUGUUAAACAACGUCAUUUCUAUUAUUUAUUGCCUGUUAUUUGAAAGGUUUUCCUCCUGCGCGGCCGUUUUAUAUAUUAAUCCUGAGAGUUGGCCAGUCGUCGGCUUCUGCUCCCAUGUAGUAAGUACGGGGGGUUUCGGGAUAAACCUGAGCACUCUUUAUCCCAGUUUUGGGUCCUUGAAGGAGAUGUUCAGCACAAAGAACCAAGCAAUCAGACUAUAAGGCUUUAUCACUCUCACUUAGCCAUAGGAGUUUGACAAAAGGAAGGUAGGCGCAGCCCCUGGUGUUCGGAAGACCACACGAGGGGCUCUAUAAGCACCUGAUCGGAAGAAAAGCUGAUCCAUCGCACGCUGCAGUAGUUAUCGCAUAAUGUGGAAGAAAUCCUUAAAGAUUUUACAACCUCUCAAACAGCUGACCAGCUCUCGCUGUAUCAUGACAGUCAGUUUUCGGCUUUCUCUACUGAGGCGCUCGUCCGGAAGAACCGGGACACAAUCGCAGUAGUUCUCCCUGUGCCGCCUUAGCCGAUAUAGCGGAAUGUAAGGCAGCAAAACAUGGGAGCCGGGCAAACCCAACUAUUGACCCAAGACAUGAUUCGGAGCUGAUGCAUAUAAUGCUAUAAGUUCGGGGUGUCGAAUGACCGUGAAGGUGUUCGGACUUUAUUGUCGUAUUAUGGGUACAAUGAAGCCCCUGGCAUAUUAAGGCAUAUCGCGGUGCACGGAUGCCAUUUGACAAAGAGUGUCAAUAAGAAAUAGCAGCAGCUAAGCGUCAUAUAAAGCCACAUGUUGUAAUUGAAUAACACGUCGAUGCGUACAAGUACAGGUAAUGUGAUAAAAAGAAAUAUGACUUCGGAACCUGCUGAGACCAGGCGGGAGGAGGCUGUGUGUGGAUCCGGAGUGUAGUCGGAUGGUCAUCGAGGGGAAUAUCUAAGGAUUCCCUUACGCGUUCGAGCUGCUUCCCGUCCGUUCAUGGGUCUGGUCUCCAUGUCGCCAGUCCUGGCCUACGCAAAAGUGGACCUGCAAAGAAAAUGCAAAAAAUGUUUCUGUGCCACGGAGCGGUUAAGCCGUAGUGUGUGGCUUGUCCUAGCUUUGCCUUCGUUUACUGCCGGAGUGUUUUAAUUGAGCUCCUGACGAGCCGGGCUAUCCUGCUGCGAAGUAGUUCGGACUCCUUUGACGGUGUCCGGGAGCUUGGCCGUCGACUCAAGGUUCGAUUGAAAGAUGCCACUCGUUGCUUCUACUAUGAAAGCGGCGGUAUGCUCUUCGGCAUGGAGGGAGCGUUCAGCCUUGCCAUUAACUGUUAUGACGCCGCACGGACCGGGCAUCUUGAGCUUAAGGUAGGCAUAAUGUGGCACCGCGUUGAAUCAAGCACACGCGGUUUGUCCGAGCAGUGCAUGAUAAUUACUGCGAAAAGGGACGAUGUCGAAGAUUAACUCUUCGGUACGGUAAUUGUCCGGUAAUCCGAAGACCACCUCCAGAGUGAUGGAGCCUGUACAACGGGCCUCCACACCUGGUAUAACACCUUUAAAGGUGCUUUUAGUGGGCUUGAUCAUCGAAAGAUGAAUACCCAUCUUGUGCACUGUGUCCUCAUACAGCAGGUUUAGACUGCUGCCUCCGUCCAUAAGGACUCGUGUGAGGUGGAAUCCGUCAAUUAUUGGGUCAAGGACUAGUGCGACUGAAUUGCUCUGAUUGCUAUUGGACGGACGAUCCAUACGGUCAAAGGUGAUUGGCCAUAGGUUAUAUUGUGGGGCGACUGGCUCUGUUACGUCGACAUCCCUAAGAGUGCACAUCCGUUCCAGCUUGGGAAUGUGGGUGGCGUUUAUCAUGCUCACCAUUUUGAUUUGCGGGGGUAAUUUCUUUUGCCCUCCUGUGUUCGGUGGCCGGGGCUCCUCCUCAUCGUCAUCGCUUUAAGACCCCUUCUCCUUGUUUUCGGCACCUGACCUACCGGCUUGUUUGAAGACCCAGCAUUCUCUGUUGAUAUGAUUGGCCGGUGUUCCUGGGGUGCCAUGAAUUUGGCAUGGACGGUCGAGUAUGUGGUCCAGACUCGACGGGCCCGGACUGUUCCUUUUGAAUGGCUUUUCCCGCUGACCGGACUUAGAGCCACUGAAUCCGGCAUUGACAGCCGUGUCUUUGGCGUUAUCGCCAUUACUGCGACGCUUAUGUUUGUUGCGUCAGGGCUUGUCGUUGCUAUCUCUGGCGUCUGAUGUGCCAGGAUUGCUUACUGUGUUGUUGCUACGAGCCAACCAACUAUCUUCACCCGCACAAAAACGGGUCAUGAGUGUUGUAAGGGUUACCAUGGACUUCGACUUCUCUUGGCCGAGGUGUCGGGUAAGCCACUCGUCACGGAUGUUAUGCUUAAAGGCCGCUAGGGCUUCGGCAUCCAGACAGUCGACAAUUUGGUUCUUUUUAGUUAGGAACCGAGUCCAGAAUUUCCUGGCUAACUCUCCGGGUUGUUGGGUUAUGUGACUUAAAUCAUCAGCAUCCGGUGGUCGCACAUAAGUGCCCUGGAAGUUAUCCAGGAAUGCAUCUUCCAGGUUCUCCCAACUUCCAAUGGAGUUUGUCGGCAAACUAUUCAGCCAAUGCCGAGCCGGUCCCUUGAGUUUUAGUGUGAGGUACUUGAUGGCGUGUAGAUCAUCCCCGCGAGCCAUGUGAAUGUGGAGAAACAAAUCUUCUAUCCAUACUGCAGGGUCUGUAAUCCCAUUGUAGGGCUCGAUAUUCACGGGCUUAAACCCUUCUGGGAAUUCAUGAUCCAUUACUUCAUCAGUGAAACAUAGGGGGUGUGCGGCGCCUCUAUGACGGGCUACAUCACGGCGCAGUUCAAAUGAGUCUGAUCUGUUGUAUUCGGCCCGGCCGGAUUUGUAUUUAGUAUAUCCGGCGUGACGGUCAUCGUCACGCGUUGGGGCGCGCCCCCGUGAUCCGUAGAUCGAUCUUGACUGUCCUGCUUUGUUUUCCAAUUCAUCUUGCAGGUCAUGUGUGUAGCCCCGGGCCUUCGUGUUUUUGUUUGUUUGCCGACGGGGUGCGGGCUGAUACGCUGCUUUGUCUCGGCCACGAGGUGGCCGGUCAGCCGCAUCCUGCGCUGGUAGUGCAGGCUCUAGUGUCUCCUCCUCGAAUUGAGGUAACAACCUGCGCUUUGGGUAACUUUUGGUUGGGCGCUCGAGUCCGUAUUCCUCGGCUGCCAGGACCUCAGUCCAUCUAUCAGUUAGCAGAUCUUGGUCAGCUUGAAGCUGUUGCUGCUUUUUCUUCAGUCUUUUUGCAGUGGCUAUAAGCCGGCGCUUGAAGCGCUCCUACUCGACGGGAUCCUCAGGCAUGUUGAAUUCUUUGUUGCCGAGGCUCACCUUGUCUUCUAAGAGGGGCAUGUAAUUGUCAUCCUCCGAGUCUCUAUCCAUUGCCUGUUGGUCAGGGCUAGCUUGCCCAUCCUCCCAUCCGGCUUGCUCGAAGCUUGGUUGGGCGGGAUUGUUUUCGUCUUCGGCAUCAUCUGGAGUAUUAUUGUCUCUUGUGCCGGUAUCGCUAUUUUUGCUAUGGUGGGGCUUAGAACAGCGCCGCUGACGCCGGUGCUUAGGUUGCUUCUCAAGGGGAUUAUCCUCCGUUGCCUUAUCGCCAUUUCUUUAUUUGGGUGUGUCCACCAUACAUAUAUCAUAUGAUGAGGUGGCUGUCCAGGGCCCUUUGGGCGGUGAUUCAUGUUCUUCUCCGGCAUCGUCGUCCAUACCGUCGAUAUCUUUUGAGUCGAAAUCAAGCAUGUGGGUUAAGUCGUCGAAAGUGGCUAUUAAGUGGGUGGUGGGUGGGGAACAAAUUUCUUCGUCGUCCGCUUCCCACUGAAGCCGGACAUAGUUCGGCCAAGAGUCUCCUGACAGGGAGAGAGAUUUCAAUGAAUUUAGCAUGUCUCCCAAGGGUGAGUGCUAAAAGAUAUCCGCGGAGGUAAACUACAUGAUCGGUGCCCAAUCAGGUUUGAUAUGCAUGGAUGUGCGCGGUUCAGAGCCUAUGGACGGAGACGAGUCCGAGGGUCCGAUGAAACAGACCUCAUUGGAGGCGAAGUCUGUGUUCAGCUCUAUCGCCGAUGAGUGUGCGGCCUCCAUGGCGGGGUCUAUCCACCCGUCCUCAGACGGCACGGUCUGCUCCGGAUUUAGAGUCGGGGCAGCCGCAGGUGUGAUCUCCCGAACACCGUCUGAUGGCAGAUCUAAGUCAUACUCAUCAUGACUGUUCGGCGCGCCUGUCACGGGCUCGAAUCCGUCGAAGAUCAAGUCUCCGCGGAUGUCGGCGGUGUAGUUCAGGCUUCCAAACCUGACCUGAUGGCCAGGGGCGUAGCUAUCGAUCUGCUCUAGAUGGCUAAGCGAGUUGGCCCGUAGUGCGAAGCCGCCGAAUACGAAGAUCUGUCCAGGGAGGAAAACCUUACCCUGGAUCGCAUCGUUGUAGAUGAUUGAAGGAGCCAUCAAGCCUUACGGUGACGACACAGUGGAACUCUCAAUGAAAGCACCAAUGUCGGUGUCAAAACCGGAGGAUCUCGGGUAGGGGGUCCCGAACAUUGCGUCUAAGGCUAAUGGUAACAGGAGGCGGGGGACACAAUGUUUACCCAGGUUUGGGCCCUCUCGAUGGAGGUAAUACCCUACUUCUUGCUUGAUUGAUCUUGAUGAUAUGAGUAUUACAAGAGUUGAUCUACCACGAGAUCGUAGAGGCUAAACCCUAGAAGCUAGCCUAUGAUUAUGAUUGUUCGUGGUCCUACGGACCUAACCCUCCGGUUUAUAUAGACACCGGAGGGGGCUAGGGUUACACAGAGUCGGUUACAGAGAAGGAAAUCUACACAUCUGAAUUGCCAAGCUUGCCUUCCACGCAAAGGAGAAUCCCACCCGGACACGGGACGAAGUCUUCAAUCUUUGUAUCUUCAUAGUCCAACAGUCCGGCACAAGUACAUAGUCCGGCUGUCCGAGGACCCCUUAAUCCAGGACUCCCUCACAUGGGUCGGCCCAAAAGGGUGGGCGGUGGAUCGGAGGGUGAGUGCUUACUCAAUAGUGGGCGCAUAGGUCGCGAAAUAGGGGCUCCACUACCACCGCAUGCAUGCGCUAAUAUGCAUACCUACUGCCUCGCUAGCAUCGCGAGCCUGCCGUCACACGCUCCUGAGGGCAUGAACAGUGGUGGCAUAUGGAUACAGAUGCCCCAUCAGAAAAAGAAGCUUGAGGCAACUACAUUGAUUUUUUUUCUCCCCAACGCAAGCUACUACUAGUGGGCCUCAUCAAGAAAUAGAAAAUAUAAACUUUAAUACAGAUGCAUCUCUAAUCUUCACUACAACUUUUUCAGCUUUUUACACCUUACCAUACAUUUUCUCCCCAAGCACCCGCCUCUUGCAUAGGAUCCUGUUUACCUAUCCGAACCUACUUUUCAUGACAUCCAAUUCUACAUGGCACACGGGGCAUCACCAUGAGGCUAAUGCAUUGACCAUGCCCUCGGAUCGAUCUGGUUUGAUCUCGGCGAGACGGUCAUCGUCGAGUUCUCGAACACCGGUGUUGCUUCUACGCAUAUGCUUCGAUUGCUCCCAUGAACUGUUACGACGUCUCCAAUCGCUCCCUUUACAACAUCUCCAAUCGCUCCCACCUACACCUCCCGCAUUACCAUGACUUCUCUCGUGUUAACUAAGCCAAUUCAUGUUGGGCUUUUUCCCUCUAGAUAAACAAUUUGUGACCUUCAAACAACCUGACUUAUGAUAUCAUUUGUUAGAAUAAUCCAAGGGGCAUAUCAAUCUAUCGAGAAUCGAGCAAUUACACUAAACACGAUAUAAGGAUUUGUUAAUGAGAUUCAUCGAACAUGGGUUAAUUCGAGUAUGGACCUUUUCCCGUUGAUACCAUGGUAAUGCCACAUACUGGUCGCCAGACCAUCCACACAUGCCGCGCAGAGGCUACCCUAUGCACUGUGCUAUUAUAUUGGCAGUAUUAUACAAGCUUGACAUGCAGACGUGUGAAGCUAUAUUACUACAGGUAAGCAUGCAUGUCUUGAUGUAUUUUAGAAGUUCUUAAUAGUUCUCUUUUCUUAUUUUGAAUGCAAAUACCUAACUAAACACUAAUAAAAUUCUUUGUUGACAGCAAUAUAUGCUUUACAGUAGUAUAUAUUUUGUAUAUUGAAGUCCUAGAUAGAAAAGUAGAGUAGGCACAAAUCCUCCACAAAAGGCAGAAUGUAUAUGAGAAAAAGAUCGAUUGAACUUUCCAAUGGACUCAUUCCAUGAGUAAACGAUUGAAUGGUAUUCGCUUGGGCAACAAAAUCAAGUCUUGGACCCCUUUUCUCUCUUAUUGAAUUAACCAAUUCAUUUCCUUUUUUACUUUUGGAUUUUUUAUUUGAUUUGGCAUUAUUCAACAAUAAGAAAAGAAAAUGGAGAAGGAAGUCCAGAUGGAGAGUUAACUGGUCACCAUAGGAUCAACGUCACAAAUCUUACACGAUACAAUCAAUGGUGAAACGAGCAAUCUAGCAUGCUUCGGCAGCUGCCAUACCUUGAGCUCUUUUUUCUUUCCCCUCUUGUAAAGCGACCAGGACUUGAUUUCGUUGCCCCACGCGAAUCCCAUUCAAUCGUUUACUCAUGGAAUGAGUCCGUUGGAAAGCCCUGCAUAGAACUGGCUGGUUUUGGGAACUUCCAGAAGGGUCCUAACCGAUUCAGGUAUGGUUUUUCCUCCUUCUUUUUUUACUCUUCCUGUGGUUCCUUUUAUCGGAUUUUUUCUUCAUCUUUCAUAUUUUUCUUCUUUUUCCUCCUUUUUUUUGAAGAAAGUUCCAUUUCAAAAAAUUGUUCAGUAAUUUUCAAGAACUGUUUGGAAUUUAAAAAUGUUCAUAUUUUUAUAAAAAGUUUGGGAAAUUUGAAAUAAUGUUUGGAAUAUAAUAAAAAAUCGGUUUUAAAAAUUAUUCACAAAUUCAAAAAAUGUUCAUAUUUUUUGUAAAUGUUUGUGUUUUAGAAAAUUAUACAAUAUUUCAAAAAAAAUCAUGUUUACCAAAAAUCAGAAAUUCAAAAGAUGUUUGUGUUUCCAAAAAGGGUUUGAAAUCUUUUUAAAAAAUUGCAUCUAAAAAAAGGUUCGGAAAUUUCAAAAGAUGUGUGCAUUUCCAAAAUAUGUUGACAAAUUAAAAAUUGUGUAAUUUUUGAAAAGGGUUUACGCUUUCAUUAAAAAACAGAAUUUUGAAAAAAGUUGAUUGUCUAAGAAAACAUUUUGGAUUUUUUAUAAAAGUGUUUGCUUGUUUAAAAGUUUGUACUACCUCCGUCCCACAAUAUAAGAGCGUUUUUUGACACUACACCGGUGUAAAAAAUGCUCUUAUAUUAUACUCCCUCCGUUUCCUAAAUAUUUGUCUUUCUAGAUAUUUCAAUAACAAGUGACUACAUACGGAGCAAAAUAAGUGAAUCUCACUCUAAAAUAUGUCUAUGUACAUCCGUAUGUGAUACUCCAUUUGAAAUAUCUAGAAAGACAAAUAUUUAGGAACGGAGGAAGUAAUAGGACGGAGGGAGUAGUUUUCAAGAAAUGUUUGAAAUUUAUAAAAGUGACAAGAGAUGCUACAGUGGCCGAUUCGCUACAGUGUCCAGUCCGGUGUAGUGAACCGGCUCGCUACAGUGCGUGGGUUUGCCACGGUGCUUUGCGUCUUCCAUGGGUUAGCCCAGUAGGGAGCGUGCAUGUGCGACGCGACAUCUGUUGUGACGCAACAUGAUUUUUUUAUUGAUAGUAAUUAGUACUGCAGCAAUUAGAAAAUUGAUAAUUGGUGGGCCAAAAUUUAAAAAAUAUGAAGGACGCUAUGUACAACGGCGUCCAGGCUGGUCGCUAUUUUGAAUGACGUCUAUAUCUGGACGCUAUUAUAGACAGCGUCCAGUUAUGUGGUUCGGUCAGGUGCUCUUAUUUAAUUAUACUAAAAGUAUCUCCUCUAAUAGAUUUAAUAUGUGAGUUUCUGGAUAUUUUGUGAUGGUUGUAAGGUAUCGAUAACAAAUCACUGAAACAUCCAUUUAUACCAUUCUAGCACAGUUUGCUUUUGCUAAAUUAGACAUAAAAUCAUCUUACAACAUUUGAACGUAUGUAUUUCUAACUCAUUAGCUACCAAAACUGUCGCAAGCAAGUCUAGUUGUGCAUCUGUGACUUAAUUGCUUUCUGGGCUGCCUCGAGGGCGAAAGCCUCCAGCAAUUCAAUCAUGGACAGUGUGCUCCGGUACACUCCUUUGCAACUAAGAAAACAACUCGAGUGGUGAGCUAGUCAAGAGACCUCCCAUCUUUCCCCUCUCCCUUAUGGGUCUCUCCCUCGAGCUACCGGAGGCUAACCCUAGCCAUCGUUAUUGGGGUUCCCCCUCCCCCUCUCCCUCCUCCCUAGUUGUUGCCAAAAGGCAUGUUCACCUCGUCAGCGUAGGCGGCGGCGGGGAUGUUUUCUCUUCCAUGCACAGGAGGUCGGGCGCGGGCCAGUUCGGGCAGACAUGGACGCCGCGUUGGACAACGGGCGCGGCGGUGCACCGAAGCGGCCACGGACGGUGUCGUGGCGGCGGUGUGACGGUUGGCGGGCGGCUCGGGCUGCUGGGCGCGGGCUACAAAUGGCUACUCCUGCCAUGGGCAUACAGGCGNNNNNNNNNNNNNNNNNNNNNNNNNNNNNNNNNNNNNNNNNNNNNNNNNNNNNNNNNNNNNNNNNNNNNNNNNNNNNNNNNNNNNNNNNNNNNNNNNNNNNNNNNNNNNNNNNNNNNNNNNNNNNNNNNNNNNNNNNNNNNNNNNNNNNNNNNNNNNNNNNNNNNNNNNNNNNNNNNNNNNNNNNNNNNNNNNNNNNNNNNNNNNNNNNNNNNNNNNNNNNNNNNNNNNNNNNNNNNNNNNNNNNNNNNUGUUAAUCGCUAAAUUUUUUGGCCCCGCAGUUGUCUGUGGCUUGCUUCGCCCCCCGUGUGCCUCCCAUAGCCCAGAGCCCAUGUGUUUGUUUUUAGAAACGCCCAGAGCCCAUAUGUUGUUGAACAAGUGAUUGCAGCAUAAAGACCCAAAUCCAUGGAAAAGAAAAUAGGAAGUAGCCCACCGUGAAAGCAAAGGGGCCAGGCUAUGAAGCAUUACGCGCACAGUUCAGGUCUACUGUAAUCCCUUCGUUUCAACCCUACUUAAAAAACUGCUCCUACGAUCGACCAUGCCGCCGGCCGCCGGCUGCCUGCUAGAUCUUCAUAUAAUCUGUCCGGGAAGGGGACACAAAAGUGUUGUUUUAUCGAUCCAACGGCGCAUUCCGGCCGGCCGGCCAUACAUGUGAGCUACCAAACGAGGAAAAGAGGUUAGUGUGUUUUUUCACCAUUAGAUCUUGAGUCGGAGGUAGUAGCUCACACGAUUUGGUCCCGAAUUCCCAAUAUCACGGCCGCCGCCCGCUAGUUUCCAUCAGCCACCGUCAGGAAUCAUUGUUGUUUAUAAACUUGAGAAAAUGGUGAUUCUGCGAUGGCCGCCGCUAAUUUCCGCUGCUGGCGGUAGAUCGUUUCUCUAGCUAUAAACAUAUUAUUAAGAUGGUCUGAACGCUAAUCCUUGCAUUAGUUAGUAGCAUUUCUGCCGUUGUACUCACAUGUAUUUACUCGAUGUUAGAUAGAGAUCUAAUAUAUUGUUCAUCUCUGUUUAGCUGUACUUCUCUUACAAAAAAAGAAAAAGAAAGAACAGAACAUAUCUUUGCACCAAAAAUACAAAUUCAACUUGCUAAUUUUAUGAUCAUAUAGGUAAUGGUAGGGCUAAAUUUACACCCACAGUUGCAAAACAUGUGUUAUUUUCUCAUACAAAAAUUAUGUGCAACUAUUGCAAAAUAUACAUUGCGGAUUUACGUGAGACUUGAUAUACAUAUUAUGUGUGUGAUAGUUAUUUCUUUCGCCCCGCCCNNNNNNNNNNNNNNNNNNNNNNNNNNNNNNNNNNNNNNNNNNNNNNNNNNNNNNNNNNNNNNNNNNNNNNNNNNNNNNNNNNNNNNNNNNNNNNNNNNNNNNNNNNNNNNNNNNNNNNNNNNNNNNNNNNNNNNNNNNNNNNNNNNNNNNNNNNNNNNNNNNNNNNNNNNNNNNNNNNNNNNNNNNNNNNNNNNNNNNNNNNAAUGGCGGUCUCGGAGGCAGAGAGUGCAUGCCAGAGGGUAAUCAUUGUAUGGUUUGCGCAAGGCUGGCGACGGCGGCAGCCGUGGACGUCGUUACCUUUCUGAAGGCGGCGUUGUGGGUACAAGUCGAAGGCCGGAGGUAUCCAGACGGGGUCUGGUCGAACCAAACAGUGGACGCUGUUUAUAAGAGCGUCCAGACUUGGACGUUGUUGGUACUGGCGUCCAGCCUUGGACGCUGUUAUUCCUAGCGUCCUUCCUAUUUUCCAAAUUUCUCAUUAAUGUUUAUUAGUUUCAUAAUUACUGGAAUAUUAAUUAUCAAUAAUAAAAAUUUCGGGACGCAACACGCGUCACAUGCAUACAUAAAGGUGCCUGUGGAAUUAUACUCGUCGUGUAUGGUUGGUUUACCACCACUGCACGCUAGGUACUUACUUAGGUAGCCAGCCAGCUUGGGCUAUAUAUACGAUCGGUCCGAUACGUGCAAGGUGCAACAACGCACCACAGAUCGAUCAGUGCAACGAACUCAUUUACGUACGAUCCUAGCUAGAGCUUGGACGAGGAUGUGCAACUGCGGUACGGUAGGACCUUCAGCUACGACCGGCAGCUGCACAUCCAUGUCCAAGCUCUAGCUACGACCGGCAGCUGCACAUCCAUGUCCAAGCUCUAGCUACGACCGGCAUCAGCGACCGGCAUGCAGCGGGGCGGCCUGCGGAAGAACAACGACGCCCGGGGGCGCUCUGGAUCCGCUUCUUGUGCGCUUUGAAAUUGACUGCUCCGUCACUACUUUCCGAGUCACCAUUUGUGUUUCAGUGUUUGUUUAUUCUGCGUUGUCGUCCAUCUAGUGGCUGCGCACUGAUCUCUACCUGCUCAUCACUACUGUAGCUGCUCCACGCUCGCUAGCGACCCCCGCGCCGCGCGUGUGCCCAUGGCGGCGGAGGUCACCCUGCGCCGCUUCGACCUCUCGGACGUCGACGCCAUGAUGGCAUGGGCGUCCGACCCCGAGGUCGCCGCCUUCUGCCGCUGGGAGCCCGGCUACGUGGUCAGGCGGUACCAGUACCAGUACUGGUGCCGCGGGGAACACCCCGUACUGGUCUACUUCUCCCCGCCCCGCGACGCCCUGCUCGCGUUCCUCCGGGGCACCGACCCUCCGCACACCUGGAUCCGCGCCGUCUGCCUCGGCGGCGCCAUCGUGGGCGCGGUGACCGUGUCGCGCACAGAGGACCGGUGCCGCGCGGAGGUCGGGACCGCGCUGGCGCGCGCGCACCGGGGCAGGGGCACGGCCGCGGCGGCCCUGAGGCUCGCGGCGACCACGGCGUUGGGGGACCUGGAGGGCGUGGAGCGCGUGGAGGCGCUGGUGGACGCGGACGACGCCGCGUCCCGGCGCGCGGUGGAGGACGCCGGGUUCCGCCGCGAGGCCGUGCUGCGGAGCCACCGCGACGCCAGGGACGUGGUCGUCUACAGCCUCAUCUCCACCGACGACGACCCACUCAUCGACUUACCCAGUUCAUGACCUUGUUGGCCGGCUUGUUGCCAUGCGAUGCUAAUAAAAGCGACUCACGCAUCAUAAACACGAUCAAAUGUUACCAAGAAAAGAAACCGAAUUACAUUGCUGUGUUUCACUCUCAGCCACGGAUUACAAGAAGAAGGUGGUGCCGCUACUGUUCUGCCGGUCUCUCCAAGAGAUCGGAGCUUAUGUAUGAGAGAACGCACGGGCUCGAUUAUUGAACUUUUUGUUGAGUUGUGACUUCGACGGGAUCCCAUGGAGUCGGCGAGAGAGCACGGGCAUUGCAGGAUGCCGGCCGGCGAGCGAUCAGGCCUCCCAGCCGCGGAGGACGGUGGCGCGGGCGACGCGGUUGACGCCGAGGGUGAAGGCGCCCAUGCGGAGGUCGCAGUGGUGGGAGCGGCACAUCUCCUUGGUGUCCCGGAAGGCGCGGGUCAUGUACGUCUUGAGCUCCCGGUUCACCUUCUCCUCGUCCCACAUGAACCCCUGGAUGUUCUGCACCCACUCGAAGUAGCUCACCGUCACGCCGCCCGAGUUGGCCAGGAUGUCCGGCAGGAUCAGCACCCCCUUGUUCGCCAGAAUCUGCACCACGAACAUGUACAUUUCUCCACUGUCAGUCAGUGUGUGAGUUGAAUUAUGACAACAAAUGCGAGCUUUGUUUUGUGGCAAAAUUUUGGGUGUUCUUGCCUCGUCGGCCUCGGGGUCUGUCGGGUGGUUCGCGGCCUCGAUGAUGUACUUUGCUUUGAUGCCAUCCGCAUUGUCCCUGGAAGAAGAAUAAAUCAUGGUCAAGACAAUAUGUUGUUUCAUUUACAAAAAUGCUUUCAGAUGUAGAAAAAGGAAAACAACAUACUGGAAGAUACUAUAACUGAACUCAGGGCAGUAAUCUGAUAGAAAGUAGGAUGAGGUGAGCUAGGAUGAGGAAGAAGUUUACUUGUUUAUGACUCCUCCCAGCGCAGCUGGGAUAAGGACGUCGCACUCUUCGGUGAGCAGCGAGGUCGGGUCGACGGCGUCUCCUCCGUCGAAGCCCUUGAUCCCACGGUUCUCCGCCGAGUGCUUCAUCAGCUUGGCUAUGUCAAUGCCAUUAGAGUUCUUGACAGCCCCUGUGACAUCGCUGAUGGCGAUCACCUUGCCACCAGCUUCAGUGAUCAGUUGAGCAGCCCAGGAGCCAACAUUACCAAAUCCCUGAAAAAGGCAAGCCCAAUAAUUGCUUACCUCUGCAAAUGUAGGUGAAGAAACAUAGUUCUAAUCUUACUUUCUUUUUAGUAAGAAAAGUUCUGGUCUUACUCCCUUUUGUAACCAUAAAGUGCAAAAGUGUGUAUUGUGCGAUCCACUGACGGUCACUUUUUCCUAGUAAGUAUUUCUUAAAUCUAUGCGUGUAAUAGAUUGAGGCUUCAUGACUCAUACCACACUGAAUCCUCAGUUCAAUUACUUUUCAUCAUUUUAAAUUCAAAGAGCUUGACUCAUUAGCCUACACAUUAUUUAAUUACCUGGAUCACAAAACGCUGGCCUGCAAUGCCUUUGCCAUGCUCUGCAAGUAGGGCUUCAGUGGCAAACAGAACUCCCCUUCCAGUAGCUGCAUCUCUUCCCAGUGAUCCUCCAAGGUCCUGUGUUGAGCAAAAAAGUUCAGGAACAUGGCAAGAGGGAUAACUACAAACCAGAUUUCUCUCAACACUCAAAUCCUGCAUCUUCCACUUUUCAUAUAGAAACAACAUUUCCGUUGCACAUUAUACAUGAUAGAGUUUCAGGAUGGAUAAUUACCACAGGCUUUCCUGUCACCACAGCAGGUGAGUAACCAUGGAACUUUGAGUACUCAUCCAGAAUCCAUGCCAUUGUCUGAAUCCAUACAACAAGCAAAAGAAUACUCAUCAGGAUACAGAUGGUUAAUUCUCACAAUACUCUGCAGAGAAAUAAUAAAUAUGCAAAGCACAAUAAAUAACCUGUGCGUUGGUGCCCAUGUCAGGAGCCGGAACAUCGGUGUGAAUGCCAAUUAAGUCAUGAAUUUUCUGGGUGAAAACUCGGGUAAGCCGCUCGAGCUCUGAUAUGCUCAGGUCUCCAGGACUGCAUCCUAUGCCACCUUUAGCGCCUCCAUAUGGAAUAUUGGCCACGGCUGUUUUCCAUGUCAUCAGUUGCGCCAAGGCAUUGACCUCGUCAGGAUCAACCUGAAUGUUAUCAUAGCUUGUCAGUGCUGACAGUGCAAGAACUUACUAUGAUCAUAGAUAAUCUUGGUUGCCAGUGUCUUGAACUUGCAUGCACAUGAUCGGUUUUUAUGGAAACCAAGUCAGAAUGUGAUCCAGUAUAGUAGCUUUAGUGAGAUGUGACUAAUUUCCAAAAUAGCUAUGCUCUGCUUUACUGCAAGUAGACAUUGCAAUUGCAUAACUAGGUAUGGGCUGAACAAUAAGCCAUUCAACUAUCUGACAGAUUCCUGAAGGAGAUCGGAUUUAUGCUGAAGGACCAUUUCAAGUCGGCGGCAGUGCGGCAAAGAAUCAAGUGCUUAAUGGUUGGUUGUAUCAUGAUGAACAGAAGAACCCAGGAAUAUAUAUGUGUGUGUGUGCGCGCUCACCUCAUGGUGGUAUCUGAUUCCACCCUUCAUAGGGCCCCUGGCAUUGUCAUGCUGCACCCUAAACCCAACAUAGGAUGCUAAUGUCCCAUCAUCUUUAGGAAUUGUGCACUCAACCUGCAACCACACAAGAAGCAUGUCACUUUCGGUUGAACAGAGGCAUGAUCCUGCACACAGCUUAACCUUGCAGAGUAAGUGACUACGAGGCCAGUUGAGCAACUUUUUUUGCCAUAUUCAGCAGGAAAAUCACUCAGAAUAAAUUAACACGGACACCACAAGUGAGGGAAUGGGAGAAGACAAAUCAAGUGAUUGCUCAAUGGGGAAAAAAAGUGAAGUAGCACACGAGAAGAUAUCAAAUCCAUAAAUAAUCCAGUAAUAACCUAACUGAAAACAGAAAAAAUCACGGUCCAGGUGAAAAAUAAUCCUAGGUCAACUACCCCAGCCCCAAGGGCAAGGAGGGAGAGGAAAAACACGGGCCUAUGUGACAGUUCUCAGUAAGCACCGGGCUCCGCAGACCAAGCAGCAGCAAUCUGGUAAAUCCCUAUAGAACGAACGAACAGCAAGCGUAGCCGUCUAGAUUCACUGGUUCACAGCGAAGGAUAGGAGGCAGGCUGGGAUCAUCACCUUGAUCUCCCUGAAGGGGAUGAGCAAGCUCUUCUCGAGCUUGGAGUCCAGGCCCAGCAGCUUGGCCGCCUGCUUGAAGUUCCGGCUGGUGGCCGCCAAUGCGUUCAUCCUGCUCGACGGAAUUCCCCUCCGGAGCCGCCGCGCCUGAAAAACGGAUCGAGAAGCCCAGCAGCAUGAGUAAAAUCGGAGGAAACCAAAUCACAGGAGAUGAAACGAUCAAACUCUGCGCGAGAAACCAAAGGAUAAUCUCCCGCUUUUAUAUUACCGAGUAGGAGUAGAGCAGCGGCGAAGUGUUAGUGGUGAGAGCGAGCGUGGGGGAGGCAGCGGCAGAAAGACUAUGGAGGAGUUUCAGGUAGGCCGUAUGCAUAUAUAGGCACACUGAAACUGAACCCCUUGGUGGAUUUGGGUUCCGUUCAAAAAGCAGAGGGGAUUUUUUUUUAUUUUAAUUUGUUUUCUUUGUCUCUACCAGGAUAAGAACAAGAUCUGAUUCUCGCCCUGCCUGCAAUUAAUUUCCCUCGAGACCCGAGCCCUGUCUGUAAUCAAUACCAUAAUUAACUAAUCGUAGCCUACCAGAUCGAAGAGCAUCAAUCUAUGCCAAGGAAUCGACCGUCUCCCCUUUUGUUUAAUAGGAGCUUACUAACAUCUACUAGUACAAAAAAGAUCACUGUUCUAGGGACAACAUCUGAAUGAAGAUUCAGACUGCCGACAGCUGUGCUUGUUUCGCUGAGAAAAUGCCCAGAAUUUGAGCCACAAGUCAGUGGAAGGAGUGUUCAAGGAAGCCUCUGCAUCUGCAUGUGGCAACUUCAGAUUACUACUCAAAUCGGUUGUAUGUAUGUAUGUAUGCACUGUACUGAGCUGUGCAUGUACGGGUUGUACAGCUUGCGCCAGGCAAACUGCUGAUACGCUGACGGUGAUGAGCAUCCAUGCACGUGUAACAUGUGAUCCCUGACACUUCAUGCUCACAAUACAUGUCUGUCAAACAGUACUACUAAAUGUAAGGCUUUUUAGAGAUUUUAACAGGGACUACGUAUAAAUGUAUAUAGACAUGUUUUAGGGAGUUGAUUCACUCAUUUUACUUCGGAUGUACUUUGUAUCGAAAUCUCUAAAAAGGCUUACAUUUAAAAACGGAGGGAGUAGUACUUAAUUACAGCUAAAGUUAGAGCUUAACAAUUUGGUCUAGCAGUUGGGUGAAACCGCUACUGUAGAAAUGUGGUGUUUGUACUUUGGCGGCCUGUGAGAGACAGAAAUCUCAUAAGCAACUUGGCGAAAAAGCACAUGGCUGAGUCAGCUGCGAUACUCCGUGGAAUUAUUUGGGUAACCAUGCAAUUUUGCACUGUCUUGCAUAGCACAAUCUAAUAAUUAUUGGACACGAAGACACGUGUAUCCCAUGGAUCAGGCGGUUGUUGGAACUCGGAUUAGGGCUAAUGGUCUGCAUAGGAUGUGUGAAGCAUAUGCCAUAUGCCGUAUGUUAUUUGUUUAUUUGAUUGACAACACAUAUGCCGUAUAAUAAUUUUUGCGUCAUAUGGUGACAAGAAAUAUAUCAUAUGCCAUGGACAGGGCUGGUAUGAUAAUUAAGCGAACCUAUUAGUAUGGGUAAUGCCGACUUUGGCUCGGGAUAAGAGGGCAUAAGUUCGAGGAAGAUGCAUUCGCCGAAAAGUGGGGACGGAUUGGGGGAGCAGGACAAUCCCAGAGCGGCGAGCAAAAUCAUGUGGAGAAGAAGAAGAAGCAAUACGGAUCGAAAGUGGUUUAGCUGCUUUUAGAUGCAUGGAUUCCAGAUUAUACAAGGCCUGCAUUAUUAUUUGUCCUGUUUUUUGCUAUCUCUUUUCUAAUGCCCCUAAAAGGAGUGAUAAAAGAAUCACCCCACUAUCAACGCAGAUAAUGAUAAUUAAGGCGAUACUUUCAGAUCAGAGGAUAAUGAAGGCAAAUAUUCUCAAAAUCAGAUCCCGGGUUAGGUAGCCGUAGAUGAACAACCCCAAUCAAAAGCUUCAGAAUAUUAGUGCUAGUACAGACUACAGAGUUUUCAGAGCUUGGAUAAACCAUCAGUAAUUGAUCUUUCCCUGGCCAUGUGAUCACUGCUAACACUAGCACGCUGCCAUCUAAAGGAAACACAAAAGGAGAGAGGGGAUUACUUUCUCGCAGUACCUGAUCAGGGUGAGUGAAUCGUAGCGGCCGAGGAAUUUCGCCCGCGCUGUCUGCUCUGUUGUGGCAUGCAGGCAGAGGGUUACAAGGGGUUUUAUAGGGUGAAACCGGCUGGGAAUGAUACACGGAAUUAGUUCGGAGAUAUCGCGAAUAUGGAUCAUAUUGCUCCAAGGACUUUGGGCGAUUCCAUCUGCUUGGGUUGAGUUGGCCCUUGGCCGCGUUGCGUUUGCAUUGCAUCCAAUUCCAUUUCAUUGCUAUUUGAGGGCCAAAUGGGCAGAGGGUCCACGACCCAAAUUCUCAGUCUCAUCAUUAUGUGGAGCUACAUAGAUUAUGUUCGCAAACUGGUGGUAACUAUGCUCGGUUGGUUAGGUAUCCUGUGCUAGAAUCUGCCCAUCUGGAUUUAAGUCGUAUAUAUACUUGCACAAUACUUGCACUCUCAGACAAGUGCUCAUAUUUUUCUGGAUUUAUUCCACAAGUUUUUUCGCCAUUCUCUAGCGGAAGACAGUUUUGCGCCUUGACUAUGAGGUGCCUAUGAUGAGAUUUGCCGGCUCGGUCUCUUGGAGAUGAGUGUUUGUAUUUCCUGAAUUUAUUUUGAAAUUAUCGGCGCUAUUCCUUAGUGGGAGACGUUGUGCGCCUUGAGUACAAGGUGCCUAUGAUGAGAUUUGCCGACUCGGUCUCUCAAACUUGCUUGUAGGGAGUGUUUGUGUGUGCUUGUAGUGUGUGUGCAUGCUUUCAUUGGGGAGUGUACUUAUGUGUGAGCAUUUGUAUUUGCAUAGAAAGUGUGUGUGUGUGUGUGUGUGUGUGUGUGUGUGUGUGUGUGUGUGUGUGUGUGUGUGAGAGAGAGAGAGAGAGAGACACUAUGUAGUAAGUUCUUGGGAAAUAAGCGUAUUUCAGACGCACCUCAUCCACUUUGGCUUCCAAAUAAUGCGUUCAAGAGAUGAUUAUGACAAAUCUGGUCCAGAAGAUAUCCUCCGGGAGAGAGAGAGAGAGAGAGAGCAAAUCAUCAUAUGCACGAGCAACCAAAAGCUCCAUGUCAUGAAUUAUGACGCGAGACGCAUCGUCUUGCAUCAUCGGUGGAAAACCGUGGAAUAUGGAACCAAUCGCAGGAUGCGCCGUGCAAAUUGCCGCAAUUGGAGUCCAGCGACAUGGCCACCCCCCUUCCAGUUGCUUUAGAAUUCUUUGAUCGUAGAUGGAUGGAUGGCUUGUGUUCGUUUCGUGGACAAUGCAUAGAUUACUACUAGACCUUUACUGUUGUGUCAUGGAUGUAGCAUCAUGCUGCAUUAGGCCAAAAAAGCACGCCCAAAAGGAAGGUUCUCUCAGCAUAAAAGUGUAUGUGUUACGUGUGUGGAGAUUCCAGCCUUGGUGUGCACCAACUUGUGCGAUGAGUCUUCGGUGUCACUCAGGGCAUGUACAAUGAUGGCAUAUGGAUACAUAUGUCUCAUGACAAAAAGUAAUUUGAGGCACCUACAUUUAUUUUUUCUCCCCAAUGCAAGCUACCACUAGUGGGCCUAAUUAUGAAAUAGAAAAAUAAAGACUCUAGUACACAUGCAUCUCUACUUUUCACUCCAACCUUUUCAGUUUUUGUCACUGGACCACACUUUUCCUCUUCAAGCACCCGCCUCCUGAAGAGGAUCCCGCUUCCCUAUCUAAACCUACUUUACGUCAUAUCCGAUCCUACAUGGCAUGCGAGGCAUCACCUGGAGGCUAUGCAUUGUAUAUGCCCUCAUAAGCCUCCUUUCAGGGUUCAUGUUCUUUUGCCAAGAUUUGUUAAAAGCUCUGCUUGGGGAGUGCUAACUGGGAAGGAAGCUAUCCAGGGAUUUCUGGAUUUCAAAGGAUUUUGAGAGAACAGUAAAAUUCCUUGUACAUUUCGCAACAAAGGAAUGAUGAUUUCUUUGGAAGUGGAGAAUUUUGUAAAUAGUUUCAUUUCCCCGUACGAAGAGGGAAAUAUUCCCAUGUGUCAACCGGAGAUUAAAUUGAGAUUCAAGCUAGUUCUGACAUCACGAUAGAAAGAUACUUUGAUAUUGGAGACUGAUACUUUUAAACUUUAAUAUAGUUGUGUGCAUCGUAAUGAUGCAGAGGCCAGGGUGAUCCUUCUUUUUCUAAAAAUAUUUUCUAGAACGAAUAUUUAAAUGUAUUUGGCUGUUUUUUCAGAAAUGUUAUGUUGCUGUUUUUCCCUGUGCGAAUUACUGCAAAUCCCUCAUGGGAUUUUUUUUGGGAUUAACUACUUUGUUUGCACUUAUUUACAUAAAACUGCAAUGUUAUUCUUGUGCGGUUCAUUGAUUUCCAUUUUUCUGAGACCCAGAGAGGACCUGGACUUGAUGCACAUAGGUGGAUGGACUUGCGUGUUGGAGUCAAUGCCUACCAUUCGGUGUAAAGGGAAAAGGCAGACAGUCAUUUCCCAAUCUGAAUGUUGAUUAGGACUACCACUUACAAGAAAAAAAAUAACCCUGACCAUAACAUCUUUCUGUUAGAUCUAUUUUCGAGUCAUCGUGUUAGUGGUGCUCAUUUUAAUUUAAAACUUAAGGCAGACCACUUGAGCUACAGCAAAGAGGCGGAAAUGAUAGUCAAAGUUGAAGAAGUGAAUGUGACACCUCGAGUUUGCAAGGGCGCGUGACCUCUCGAGUACGCAAUAAGCACAAAGAUGAAGAAGAUGUUAAGGCGGUGGGUUGGUUGAGUGGGCGUCUCCAACGCUAUUUCCUAAAACGGACACACUAUCCGUCCAUGGAGCACGCCCAGACGCAUUCACAGACAGGACACGGGAGCCGCACAUUCAACUUUGUCCCUCAAAUAAACAUCAAAUCUGGAGAUUUACGUAAUAAUUAACACAACACAUCCGCCUCCGGAUCGCCUCCCUGGCGACUCCGGGGCGUCCCCAACACCAACCUCUCAGCGCCGCCUCACUAGACCCUCUCGCCGCCGUCGUCGCUCGCCACCCCGGCUGGCCGACAGUGGCUGCCGGCCGCCCCUUCUCGCGCUCCCGAACCCCCAUCCCUCCUCCCACCUUACUCCUUUCAUGCCCAGAUCGGCGCAGUGAUGCGGAUCUGGUAGGUCGGAGUGGUGUUUUUGUUGGCGCUAGCAUUUUCCGCCGCUGCUGCCAUGUGCAUCCUCUACCGGUCGGCACCAGAAUGGUUUGGGAGGUGAGAUCCUGCGCAUGGCCACCUCCCACAGCAGUUUCCUGGUGCCAAUCAGGUGACAUCAAGAUCUCCCGCGGACUGCUACGACCGGGCACGCGCACGACAACUCACCCGGAGGCGUGCGUGCGUGCUUGGUUCGACAAGCAUUGAAUCAACGUUUGUGGUUGGCAGAGCGAUGGCCUCUUUGUCUGUUCUGCCAUCGCCAAGGGAGUGUGACCCUGUGUCCUGUCGUCGCCAUUGGCAACGUGAAGAUCCAUUUACUAUGGCUAGUGGCGACCACCAUCUACCUUGCGCCUGCCUUGGCACCUUCAUUGCCGCGUUAACCAAGCUAUUUGAAGAAGACCGAAUAGGCUCUGGAGGUUCCAUCUUGCAUGCUCGUAUCGAGUCGAGAGCCGGUGAAGAUUCAAGAGAGCAUGAAUAGCAGAUCGAAGAAGUAUGUGUGUCGGAUGAUUGGCGUUUUGCAGUGGUGUUCUCGGCGAGUGGGGGCAGCGACACUAGCAGACUUCGUUCUUGGUGGUGCUCUUUGAGUUCCGUGUCUCAGUUUCCAGGGUGAAAACCCUAGGUCUAGCCUUCGGUGGUUGUACCUGGCGGCUCCCUAGUCGUUUUUCUUGUUGAAGUCAUUGUCUGGAGAUGAGACCUUCUCCAGGGUGAAAAUUCAAUAUCUGACCAUGCCGAUUAGACCGGACGACAAUGUUGUUUGUGCACUAUUACCUUCCUGAAGGCGUCGUUUUGGAGAACCUUCUUCGAAGUCUAUGUGUCUACACCACUGGUCGUGCUCUUGCUGGUGCGAAUCUCUAUUUGCUUUGGCGGGGUCUUUGUUUUCUUUUCUCUUCUUCUUUUCUUUUCUUUUGGCUAUGUGCAUCCUUGACGUUUAGACUUAAUCUAAGCAUUAUGUUGUUGCAGAGACUGAGUGUAUUUGGUAUCAUCUUUAUAUUAAUAUAUUCCUUUUAUAAAACAAUAAGCAUCACAUCCGAACAACAGAGAUGGGCUAGGAAGACCUAGAGGACAAAGCACAUGGGUUGUGAGGGCAUGUCGUCCAAUUGACAGUGGGCCAAGCGGACCUCCGCGUGCUUUUUGGACUCUCGCAAAUCAGUUAUUUGUUUGCGUAUUGGAAUUCGGUCAUCCAAAUUCAUCUGCGUACAUUAACGGGUCUCCAUUGGAUUAGCAAAAGUGGGCAAAAUUGGUCCGUACUAACAUUAUGUCCAGUACUUUGAUUGGUGAGGUUGGGGGAGAUGAAGAUCCUCUGCCACCUGAUGGUGCUAAACCACACCCCUUGUGCGUUGGCGGAAACGUCUUGUCCGAUCUAGGGCGACGUGUUGCAUGUUAAAUAGGCAGGGUGCGAGCCUGGCAUACGCGUACAUAGUUUGUUGAGAUACAACUUGUAGAGGAAGAAAUACAAGAGAUAAGAGAUAAGAGAUAAGAGAUAAGCUAGGAAAGAAGUUACAGAAUAUAUCAUAUGUGUGCCGCCUAGCUACCUCAAUAUCUCUCUAACUGAAUAAUCCUCUCAACCUUCUAUAUGUCACGUAUAACAUAUGUUUAACACCCUCCCUUAAUCACAAUUUGGUCAAGUUGAGAUUAUGUUUGAAGUCCUCAAAGCUUCGUACAGGUAAUGCCUUUGUGAAUCCAUCUGCAACUUGAUCUCUGGAGUGCACAAACCGAAUGUCAAGUUGCUUCUAAGCAACUCUUUCUCUGACCAAAUCAAAAUCAAUUUUUAUAUGCUUUGUUCUAGCAUGAAAGACUAGAUUUGCAGAGAGAUAAGUAGCACCAAGGUUGUCACACCAUAGAGAUGGAGCUCCUGUGGUUUUCACACCAAGUUCUUUCAACAUAGACUGAACCUAUAUUAUCUCUGUUGUGGCAUUUGCUAAUGCUUUGUAUUCUGCCUCUGUGCUUGAUCUGGAGACAGUGGCUUGUUUUCGUGCACACCAUGAUAUCAAGUUAGGCCCAAAGAAUACAACAAACCCACCAGUUGAUCGCCUGUCAUCCAAGCAUGCUGCCCAAUCUAAAUCAGAAAAUGCACUGACAAGUGUAGAGGGUGACUUUUUGAAAUUUAGACCAAUGCUCAAAGUGUGUUUGACAUAUCUAACUAUGUGUUUUGCAGCAGUUAAGUGAACAGUAGUGGGUGCAUGAAGGAACUGAUAAACUUUGUUAACUGCAAAGGAAAUGUCAGGUCUAGUAAGAGUAAGAUACUAUAAUGCUCCCACUAAACUUCUGUAUCUUGUGAUUUCCUCUUAAUUCAAGAGUGUCCCUUCUGUGAGAGAUAGCUUUUCUGAACUGGAUAGUGGAGUAGGUGAAGGUUUACAAUCUUUCAAACCAGCCUUCUUUACCAGAUCAGUUGCAUAUUUCUUGAGAGAGAUGGAGUCCGUAUUUGUUUCUUUUUACCUCAAUCCCAAGAAAGAAAUGCAAGUCUCCAAGAUCCUUCAAGGCAAAAUCUGCACCCCAAGUCCUUUAAGAGCCCUGUGAUUGCUUCAUUAGAUGAGCUUGUCACAAUAAUGUCAUCAACAUAUAUGAGGACAAAUAUGCAUGUGUUGGACUUGUUGUAAAUGAACAAUGAGGUGUCAGACUUAGAAGGGACAAAACCAAGUGCCUGCAUCUUAUGACAGAGAUGAGAAUACCAUGCCCUUGGAGCUUGCUUUAAUCCAUAUAGUGCUUUAUCAAGUUUGCACACAUAAGAGGGAGCACUUUUACUUACAAACCCAGGAGGUUGCUUCAUGUACACUUCCUCUUCCAGAACACCAUGGAGGAACGUGUUCUGCACAUCUAGCUGUCUAAGACUCCAGCCCCUGAAAACAACAAUAGACAGGACAAGGCAGAUGGUAGCAGCUUUUAAAACUGGACUAAACGUGUCCUCAUAGUCUAUGCCAUAUCUCGGUUUAAAGCCUUUUGCAACAAGUCUAGCUUUAUAACGAUCAAUGGUUCCAUCAGAUUUUCUAUUAAUCCUGAAUACCCACUUGCAGUCAAUCAAGUUUUUACCUUGCUAUGGAGGAACCAAGUGCCAUGUUUUAUUUUUCUUCAAUGCCAUGUACUCUUCAUUCAUAGCUUUCUUCCAUUGCUCAUUACCAAGUGCUUCUUCAACUGUGCUUGGUUCACCUGGUUCACCUGUAGAACAAAUCAUACCAUAUUUAACUAUAUGUUUGUAGUUCACAAGUUGUGUUACCCCUUUUUGCAAUCGUGUGUGCCGUGGUGAUGACGCAACCAAGUCUAUGGCCAUAGAAGAUCCAGCCGCCUACACAGGAGUUCCAGCUGAAGCUGAUACCGAGGAGGAUCCCCUGGGUGCAGCGGCGCGGGCUGUCUCGGGCGGAUCUUCUGCGGCUUGUGGUGGAACUGUGUCGCUUGAGGAGGCCGCAGAGAAUCCCGGCCUCUGGACUGGCCCAUCAUUCCCUAAUGAUGGCGAAUCAGCGUUGGGACCCGCGCCAGGGCCCGUGUUGGUGGAGCAAACCGGAGCCCGCCACUUGUAGCACACUAGCUAGCUGCAAUAGCGCGCGUCGUCUGAGCCAUCCACGCGUCGCUAGUUGGCAGAAGGUGAUUGGCGCGUCGCUGGGUCCGCGUCGCGACCACUGAGAGGCGGUCGCGUGUCGCCUGUGGAAGCAGGCGCUGCGGCGCAUGCACCUGCAGCCGUAGCCGCGUCCGCUCCACUGGAUCCCGAGGGAGAUCCCGCGUUUGCUGCAACAGAUCCCGAGGGGGGUCGGAUUUCCUAAUGUUGUGCCGAUCCCGAGGAGAUUUUGUCUCCUAUUUCUGGACACAUGAAAUAAGGGCCAGAAUUUGCUCCGUUUUCUUCAUUUUUUUCGCCGUUCGUUCCUGUUUCAUCAUGACAAGGCUCAUGCAACGUAUCAGUGGGAUUAGUCAACAAGUGAUCAUCAAUAUCAUUCCCCCCUUGAUCAAUACCGGUGAGAUGUGAGGGCAAAAUAAGAAUUUCUUUGCGAAGAAGCGCACCGGCGUUAGGAUGAAGACCGGCAAAGGGAAACUGUGUUUCAUCGAAUACAACAUCCCUAGAGAUGUAGACACGACCAGUGGAGACGUUGAUACACUUGACACCUUUGUGUUGGGAACUAUAGCCAAGGAACACACAUUUGGUGGAACGAAACAUGAGUUUACGUUUGUUGUAGGGACGAAGAUAGGGCCAGCAUGCGCACCCAAAAACAUGGAGAGAUUGAUAGUUUGGUUUUUCAUGGAGAAGUCUUUCUAGUGGUGUUUCAUUGUUGAUGACACGACUGGGAAGGAUGUUUAUGAGGUGAAAGGUUGUGAGAAGAGCCUCAUCCCAGAAUUUGAGAGGCAUGGAUGCUCCUGCAAGAAGAGCAAGGCCAACUUCGACUAUGUGGCAAUGUUUCUGUUCAGCUGAGCCGUUUUGCUAGUGCGCAUGAGGGCAUGAUACGUGGUGUGAGAUGCCAAGGGUUUGGACGAAGGAGUUUAACUUCUCAUACUCCCCCCCCCCCAGUCUGAUUGGACAGCAAUGAUUUUGUUAUCGAACUUGCGUUCAACAAGAGCUUGGAAGUUUUGAAGAACUUGAAAAACUUCGGAUCUAUUCUUAAGGAGAUAAAUCCACGAGAAUUUACUAAAGUCAUCAAUGAAACUGACGUAGUAAGAGUGUCUACCAACAGAGGUGGGGUCCGGACCCCAAACAUCAGAAAAUAUAAGUUGCAAUUGCUUGGUAGAAACACUAGUAGAUAUAGGAUACGGUAAUUAAUGACUUUUAGCUCUUUGGCACGAAUCACAAAUAGUUUCAUUAUGUCGCUCACCAACAAACGGGAGCUUAUUCUUCCUAAGUAGUUUUUCAACUAAAGAAAAUGAAGCAUGUCCUAAUAUAUCAUGCCACCGUGUUGACGAAAGCCUGGCAACACCAUAGACUUGUUCAUUGACUCUUCUACGCACCGGAAUCAACGGAUAAAGCCCUUGAACACAUCUACCUCGAUAGAGGAUUUUCUUCAUUACCUGGUCCUUGUUCAAAAAGAAAUAAGGGUGAAACUUGAGGAAGACAUGAUUAUCUAAGGCAAUAUGGUGAACAGAAAGAAGACUUUUGGCGGCACUAGGAACAUGCAAGAUUUUCUUGAGAUGAAUAUUGCGACUAGGGGUACUAAAUAUUGAAUGACCAAUGUGAUUUAUCCGCAUACCUUCUCCACUAGCCAUGUGAAUUUGAUCCUUUCCAUGGCAUCUUUCCUUCAUAGUCACCUUCUCAAGUUCAUUAGUGAUGUGAUUGGUGGCGCCGUUAUCAACAUACCAGUUUGUGUCGAUGCCGUAGGAGCCAUCCGCCGCCGCAGUGACCUUGUCAUCAUCUGGAGAGUCGUCCUCAUCCUCAUCAUAGCGGUACCAGCUGUCUUUUGCAGUAUGGCCUGGCUUGCACAUAUUUGGCAACGAGGCGGAUCCGGAUGAGUGCGGCCAGAGCCACUACCGCCGCCGCCGCCGCGGCGAGAUUUGUUGCCGAAGUGCCUGCCGUUGUUGUCGUUGUCACCAGAGCGCCCCCUGCCCUGGGAAGAGCCGCGGAAGCAUGCACCACCAUGCCCGCGGGUUGCAGCGUUUGUGGACGACUUGAAGGAGUUGCCGCCCGCACCGCGGAACUACACCAUGCGUUGGUCGAAGUUGCUGAGCAUGGCGAAGAUCUCAUCGAGGGAGGCGGGUGACACACGAGCAUCGAGGGCCGAGACCAGGGGCUGGUACUCCAGAUCCAGCCCAUGGAGGAUUUAGGAGAUGAGCUCAUCAUCCUGGAUCGGUGAAAGCACAAGUGCUCCCUGGGUGAUUUUGGUAAUUAAUGUCAACAUAUCUCUUGUUGGACUAAUACUUUUACCUAGUAUGUUUCAGAUAAGUUCAACAAUGGAGUGGCAUGGACUAGAGGAUGUGGAACCCCUUCAAGAUGCUAAGGACAAAGGAUUGGCUCAAGCUCAAAGCACAAGACUCUACAUUUUACUUUUAGUGAUCCAAGAUCACAUUGAGUCCAUAGUAAAGCCAAUACUAUUAAGAGGGGAUGAGGUGUUGCUUAAUGGCUUGCUUGCUCAAAGUGCUUAGUGAUAUGCUCCAAAGCCCUCAACCACUUUCUCACAUCCACAUAUGUCCCAAACCAAAAGUCAAACUCGGCCCCACCAAAAUUUUCUAUCCGGCGCCACCGAGUUCAGUUGACAUAGCCACUGCCAGAAACCCUAGUCUUUUCAAUCUCACCGAUGGGAUCUCGGUCUCACCGAGAUGGGCUUGCAAACUCUCUGUUGCCUAUUGCAAUAAUUUCGGUCUCACCGAGGUAUGCAAUCGGUCCCACCGAGGUAUGCAAUCGGUCCCAUCGAGUUUGCCUGGCCAACUCUCUGUUUCGCUUAUUACCCAAAUCGGUCCAUCGAGUUUGUGUAAUCGGUCAAACCGAGUUGAGGCUUUACCCUAACCCUAGCACAUCGGUCCCACUGAGUUGACAUAUCGGUCCCACCAAAAUACCUAACGGUCACAUUAUGAACUAAAUCGGUCUGACAGAGUUUCACAAUUUGGUCCCAUCGAGUUUGGAAAAUUGUGUGUAACGGUUAGAUUUUGUGUGGAGGCUAUAUAUACCCCUCCACCCACUCUUCAUUUGUGGAGAGAGCCAUCAGAACAUGCCUACACUUCCAGCAUACAUUUUCUGAGAGAGAACCACAUACACUUGUGUUGAGGUCAAUAUAUUCCAUUCCUACCACAUAAAUCUUGAUCUCUAGCCUUCCCCAAGUUGCUUUCCACUCAAAUCUUCUUUCCACCAAAUCCAAAUCCUGUGAGAGAGAGUUGAGUGUUGGGGAGACUAUCAUUUGAAGCACAAGAGCAAGGAGUUCAUCAACAACACACCAUCUAUUACCUUUUGGAGAGUGGUGUCUCCUAGAUUGGUUAGGUGUCACUUGGGAGCCUCCGUCAAGAUUGCGGAGUUAAACCAAGGAGUUUGUGAGGGCAAGGAGAUCGCCUACUUCAUGAAGAUCUACCUGAGUGAGGCAAGUCCUUCAUGGGCGACAGCCAUGGUGGGAUAGACAAGGUUGCUUCUUCAUGGACCCUUCGUGGGUGGAGCCCUCCGUGGACUCGCGCAACCGUUACCCUUCGUGGGUUGAAGUCUCCAUCAACAUGGAUGUAUGAUCGCACCACCUAUAGGAACCACAGAUAAAAAAUCCCCGUGUCUCCAAAUUGCGUUUGCACACUCCAAUCCCAUCCCUUUACAUUCUUGCAAUUUGCAUGCUUUACUUUACGCUGCUCAUAUACUCUUGUCAUGCUUGCUUGAUAUGUAUUGUGAAUGUUAAAACUUGUGCCAAAACUCCACUUCAACUUAAUAAAGAGAUUAAAAACUGCAAGUUUUCUUACUUAGAGUCUAUUCACCCCCCCCCCCUCUAGACACCUCUUCUCGAUCCUUUCAAUUGGUACCAAAGCUUUGGUCUCCAUUGCUUUGGUUUAAUCACCAUUGGAGGAAGAUGGAUGAGUCUAUGUUGGGGAGUUACACAUAGAGUGCCUAUACUUGAUGGAGAGUAUUUUCAUGAGUGGAAAAAUGAGAUGCUUGUGAUUUUCAAUGAAUAUCAUUUGAACAAGUACAUUACUAGCCCUUGUGCACCUCAUGUUGAUCCUAUGCAUCCUACCCUUGAUGAAUCAAUUGACAUGAUUCGCAAUCUUAGAACUGUUGAUCUUAUCACUAGAGGUUUGCCUAGAAACUUGAUAGAUUGCUUGCCUACUCUUAAGUGUGCCUACACCAUAUGGAAAUUUCUUGAGGAACGUUUUCCAAAUUAUUCCUUGAAAAAUCUAGAUGAAAUUCUCCAUAAGUCUAUUGCCUUGAGUAAGAUGAAUUCCAAUGAUCCUAAGUUUGGUGAUUGUCUAUUUGAGCUUACAAAUCUUAUGCGUGCCAAAGGAGAUUUUGGAAUUAUUAGCAAUAUUAUUUCCGAAGAUAUUAGAAUUCGUAAAGAAGAUCAUUGUCAAACUCAUUCUAAUGAAUCACCUUCUCUAGGAGUUGAUCCAUCACAUGACGAUGUUGAACAUGGAUACUAUGAUGAGGAUGAUGAUAGUGACUUUGAUCUUGAUGAUGCAAUGAGACACUUUGGUCUUAUGGCAAAUCUUCGGGAUACAUGGCAGGAGGAAAGGAAUGGGUUCUUGAUAGUGGAUGUACCGAUCACAUGACCGGAGAUAAAGAUAUGUUUCGUGAGCUUGCUGAAAACGACGGCCCUCAAAAGUAUGUCACUUUUGGUGACAACUCAAAGGGUAAGGUGGCCAUCUCACACGAUAGCUCCAUACAAAAUGUCAUGCUCGUUGGAUCUCUUGGGUACAAUUUACUUUCAGUACCUAGAACUUGCUUAAUUGCUAAAUCUUCUAAAGGCUGGUUGUGGCAUGGACGGUUAGGUCAUGUGGGCAUGCGAAACCUUGACAAGCUUAUUAAAGGUAAUCAUAUCCUCGGCGUUAACGAUGUCAUAUUUGAUAAGGAUAGACUUUGCAGCGCUUGUCAAGCAGGUAAACAGGUUGGAGGAAGGCAUCCCGUGAAGAACAUCAUGACCACAAGGAGGCCGCUCGAGCUACUUCACAUGGAUCUUUUCGGUCCCAACGCUUACAAAAGUCUCGGUGGAAAUUCUUUUGGUCUAGUUAUAGUUGAUGAUUUUUCAAGAUUUAUGUGGGUGUUCUUUCUCGAUGAUAAAUCGCAGGUCCAAAAGAUCUUCAAAAACUUCGCUAGGAAGGCCCAAAAUCAAUUUGAAGUGAAGAUCAAGAAGGUUCGCAGUGAAAUAGAACGGAGUUCAAGAACGCAAAUGUGGACACCUUUCUUGAUGAAGAAGGGAUUUCACAUGAGUUCUCGGCUACGUACACACCUCAACAAAACGGAGUUGUUGAGAGGAAGAACCGGACGCUCAUCGAAAUGGCGAGAAUGAUGCUUGAUGAGUACAAGACGCCGAAGCACUUUUGGGCGGAAGCGGUUGAGACAGCUGGUCAUGCAACAAGUCACUUGUAUCUUCACAAGCUACUCGGCAAAACGGCAUACGAGCUCCUCACCGGUAACAAACCCCAAGUUGGAUACUUUCGAGUAUUCGGCUCAAAGUGCUACAUUCUUGAUAAGCAUCGUCGCUCUAAAUUUGCUCCUAAAUCUGAUGAAGGUUUCCUAGUUGGUUAUAGCUCAAACUCUCACACUUACCGUGUCUACAAUAAUUUCACCCGAAAGGUUGAAGAGACGGUAGAUGUGAAGUUUGAUGAAUCUAACGGCUCUCAAGUAGAGCAACUGCCAAUUGAUGUAGGGGACAAAGACCCUUCAGAAGCAAUCCAAGACUUGUCUAUUGGCAAGAUUCGUCCAACGGAGGUGAAGGAGAGUACCUUGUCCGUCCAAGUGGAAGCUUCCACCUCACGACAAGGUGAACCAAGAGUUGACACGGAAGCAUCCACAAGUGGGACACACCAAGACGAAGAAAACGAGGAAGUACACCAAUAUGAACAUCAACAACCUCCUUAUCCACCACGACAAGAGAACGACAACGUCAACAAUGAAGAAGGCCAAGAAGAAGAACAAGAUGAAGAAGAUGUUCCACCAAGAUCCAAGCAAAAGCUUCCACGAGUUCAAGCAAGAGUCGCCAAAGACCACCCGUUGAGCAAAUAUACAAUGAUAUCCAAACCGGGAGAAUCACUCGCUCUAAAACUCGUUUGGCUAACUUUUGUGAACAUUAUUCAUUCAUCUCUAGCAUUGAACCUAUGAAGGUUGAAGAAGCAUAGGAAGAUCCGGAUUGGAUAAACGCUAUGCAUGAAGAGCUACAAAACUUUGAGAGAAACCAAGUUUGGACAUUGGUUGAGAAGCUUGACAACAACCACAACAUCAUUGGUACCAAAUGGGUGUUUCACAACAAGCAAGAUGAAGAUGGACAAGUAGUUCGCAACAAAGCAUGUCUCGUCGCCCAAGGCUACACUCAAGUCGAAGGUAUGGACUAUGGUGAGACAUAUGCCCCCAUUGCUAGACUUGAGUCCAUUCGCAUCUUACUUGCCUAUGCUAAUCACCAUGAUAUUACCUUGUACCAAAUGGACAUUAAAAGUGCUUUUCUAAAUGGUGAAAUAGAGGAGGAAGUUUAUGUUAAGCAACCUCCCGGCUUUGUCAAUCCUAAGAAACCUAAUCAUGUUUACAAACUUCACAAAGCUCUUUAUGGUCUUAAACAAGCUCCUAGAGCGUGGUAUAAAUGCUUGACCAAGUUCCUUAUUGAAAAAGGCUUUGAAAUUGGAAAAAUUGAUUCUACUCUUUUUACUAAAAGGGUUAAUGGAGAACUAUUUGUGUUCCAAAUCUAUGUUGGUGAUAUUAUAUUUGGUUCGACUAACCCUCACUUUAGUGAAAAGUUUGGAAAGCUAAUGUAGGAGAAGUUUGAGAUGUCUAUGAUGAGUGAACUCAAAUUCUUUCUCGGUUUGCAAAUCAAGCAAACUAAGGAAGGUACCUUUGUCUCUCAAACAAAGUACACCAAGGACUUAUUCAAGAAGUUCAAUAUACAAGAAUGCAAAGGUAUGACUAUACCCAUACCUACUAGUGGACAUCUUGAUUUGACCAAAGAUGGUGAACCGGUUGAUCAAAAGGUUUACCGCUCCAUGAUUGGUUCAUUGUUAUAUCUAUGUCUCUCUCGUCCCGAUAUUAUGCUAAGUGUGUGCAUGUGUGCACGAUAUCAAGCGGGCCCUAAAGAAUGUCAUCUUAAGGCUGUGAAAAGGAUAGUGAGAUACUUAAUACACACACCAAAUUUUGGCAUUUGGUAUCCUAAGAGGUCUUCUUUCGAUCUUGUUGGUUACUUCGAUUCGUACUAUGCCGGAGACAAGGUCGAUAGAAAGUCCACUUCGGGUACUUGUCAAUUCCUUGGUAGAUCUCUUGUGUCUUGGUCCUCCAAGAAACAAAACUCGGUAUCCUUAUCCACCGCCGAAGCGGAAUACAUUGCCGUUGGUUCAUGUUGUGCUCAAUUACUUUGGAUGACCCAAACUCUCAAGGAUUAUGGGAUAUAUGUGAAACAUGUUCCAUUGCUUUGUGACAAUGAAAGUGCUAUCAAGAUUGCUCACAAUUCCGUGUAACACUCUUGAACUAAGCAUAUUGAAGUUCGUCAUCAUUUCAUUCGAGAUCACAUUGCUAAAGGGGACAUUAAUCUUAAGCAUGUUCGCACCGAUAAGCAAUUAGCGGAUAUAUUCACCAAACCGCUUGAUGAGAAAGUCUUUUGUCGUUUGAGAGGUGAAUUAAACAUCAUUGAUGCUUCAAACUUGGAGUAGGAACUCCAUUUGGAUACAUGCAAGGCAUGAGCCUUUGACUAAUCCUUGAUAUUUCUUUCAUGGUGCUAUUUAUAUGUCUUGGAUAUAUUUGCACCCUUGCAUGCUAUCUAACCCUUGUAGGUACUUGGAUGAAUCUAAACCUAUGACAUUGCAACCCACUCACAUCUUGAGCAAAUCUUUACAUCACCAAGUCUCUACACAAUGGUGGUUGAAGACAAGGAAGCACGAAACCCUUCAAACAUAUCCUUUGACAAAUUCUAUAUUAAGUUUUAUGAUUGUCAUUUUGGAUACACAAGUGCUCUUCCUUGCAAGACUAACCCAUGUAGGAAUAUGAACUCAAAUUCCAAGUGGUGCUCCCAACUCUUGAUGAGCUACAUCAACCUUGAGCAACCCACACAAGUUCAACUACAUGAUCACGAUCAACACCACCACCCAAGGUAUGUUAUUCCAUCUGAGAGAAGCUUUACUCCAAGUCAUGAGUCAAAGGAACUCAACAAGAUGUGAAUACAUCAAAAUGCUUAAACGAAAAAUGGUAACCCCAUUUUGAGCUUAAACGAUGAGUAUGACCUAUGAUCAAGUGAUCUCACUUGACUCCUAAGUCAAUAUACUCUAACAUAGGUGACAUUACCGCCGACCAAUUCUAGAUGAAGUUCUCUUGUGUUCUUUUCUGCGCUCUUGCAUUUGUCUCAUGCAUAUUUGUUUCCCCUUUCAAAAAAACUUCAUAUAGAUUUCUUUUCUGAUUCUUUUUUGUUCUACAUUCCCUGCAUCCAAUUCUUUGCAAAUAUUUCAGUUAAUUCCUUGCAAAUCCUUGUGAGAUCUUACUUGACUAGUGAGCUGAGGUGACAAGUGUUUUCUCUGUGAUGAACUCGGUCACACCGGUCUAUUGUUUUCGGUCCAACCAAAUUCUUUCGGUGCAACCGAAGCACACAACUCGGUGCCACCGAUUUCACUACAGGAAAAACAUCUUGCCACUUGUUCCUGCAUUGUUUUUGAUCCAGCUCCACUCAAUGAUUCUUGUCCUCUACCAGCAUCAGAUUCGACUUGUUGCUUUGUUCUGUGACUCAAGGACCAAACCCAUUUUUAACAAAAAUCCAGAAGAACCCUUCUUGGAAAUUGAUGUCAAAGGGGGAGAGAGAGAUCACAUCAAAGCUUAAUCAUUUCUAUAGGGGGAGAAAAUACUCAGGGGGAGAGAGUUCUUCUACAAGGAGACAGAAGUAUCACUUCAAAAGACCCCAGAUGCUUGGUGUUCAAGAGGAGAGAAGUCACAUGUCUUUAAGAGGGGAAAGACAUGUUCAUAUUUGAUUGUUUGCAUUAGCUCUGUUUCUUUUCUUUGCUCUGAUUUUUUGUUCCCUAUCUUCUCCAGUAUCCCAUGCUAGAUUCAGGGGGAGCAAGCCUUCUAAGGGAAGGAAAUCCUUAAAUUCAUUGCACAUCUUUACCUUUGGGACAUGUCUAUAUCCAAUGGAGUACUCAGUACUCACUCUCUACAUGUCAUCGUAGUCUUGGUACUCUUGUGGUUUCUUUUGUUUGCUCUGGCUAGUAGGUGUAUCAGUGUUACCUAACCUUGUUUACAUAGGUUCAUUCCUUCCUAAGCCAACUCAAGACCACAAGGUAAGUAUAUGCAUCACAGUCAUGUGUAUGAGGAUUUCUUGCUGAUGUACAUACUAUUUGCAAGAAGGACUCAUGAGCAUGAAGGUACAUUUCCUAUAUUCACAUCAUUUGCUAUGAUGCAUAUAGCCAAGAUACAUGUAACACAUUGCUUACUCUGCCAUGCUUAUGCAUUCAGUUGCUCCUAUAUUCCAUAUUUACAUGAUUGCAUACAUGUAGGGGGAGCCUAUGCAUGUUACAUGCCUUUCCAAAGCUUUACUUGUUUUUCUCUAUAUCUUUAUCUAAAGCUUUGAUGUAUAUUGUCAUCAAUUACCAAAAAGGGGGAGAUUGAAAGCACAAGUGCUCCCUGGGUGAUUUUUGUAAUUAAUAUCAAUAUAUCUCUUGUUGGACUAAUACUUUUACCUAGUAUGUUUCAGAUAAGUGCAACAAUGGAGUGGCAUGGACUAGAGGAUCUGGAACCCCUUCAAGGUGCUAAGGACAAAGGAUUGGCUCAAGCUCAAAGCAAAAGACUCUACAUUUUACUUUUAGUGAUCCAAGAUCACAUUGAGUCCAUAGGAAAGCCAAUACUAUUAAGAGGGGAUGAGGUGUUGCUUAAUGGCUUGCUUGCUUAAAGUGCUAAGUGAUAUGCUCCAAAGCCCUCAACCAAUUUCUCACAUCCACAUAUGUCCCAAACCAAAAGUCAAACUCGGCCCCACCAAAACUUUCUAUCCAGCGCCACCGAGUUCAGUUGACAUAGCCACUACCAGAAACCCUAGUCUUUUUGGUCUCACUGAUGGGAUCUCGGUCUCACCGAGAUGGGCUUGCAAACUCUCUGUUGCCUAUUGCAAUAAUUUUGGUCUCACCGAGGUAUGUAAUCGGUCCCACCGAGUUUACCUGGCCAACUCUCUGUUUCGCUUAUUACCCAAAUCGGUCCCACAGAGUUUGUGUAAUCGGUCAAACCGAGUUGAGGCUUUACCCUAACCCUAGCACAUCGGUCCCAUCGAGUUGACAUAUCGGUCCCACCAAAAUACCUAACAGUCACAUUAUGAACUAAAUCGGUCUGACCGAGUAUCACGAUUCGGUCCCACCGAGUUUGGUAAAUUGUGUGUAACGGUUAGAUUUUGUGUGGAGGCUAUAUAUACCCCUCCACCCACUCUUCAUUUGUAGAGAGAGCCAUCAGAACAUGCCUACACUUCCAACAUACAUUUUCUGAGAGAGAACCACCUACACAUUGUUGAGGUCAAGAUAUUCCAUACCUACCACAUAAAUCUUGAUCUCUAGCCUUCCCCAAGUUGCUUUCCACUCAAAUCUUCUUUCCACCAAAUCCAAAUCCUGAGAGAGAGAGUUGAGUGUUGGGGAGACUAUCAUUUGAAGGACAAGAGCAAGGACUUCAUCAACAACACACCAUCUAUUACCUUUUGGAGAGUGGUGUCUCCUAGAUUGGUUAGGUGUCCCUUGGGAGCCUCCGUCAAGAUUGUGGAGUUGAACCAAGGAGUUUGUAAGGGCAAGGAGAUCGCGUACUUUGUGAAGAUCUACCCGAGUGAGGCAAGUCCUUCGUGGGCGACGGCCAUGGUGGGAUAGACAAGGUUGCUUCUUCGUGGACCCUUCUGUUGGGGAACGUAGUAAUUUCAAAAAAAUUCCUACACACACGCAAGAUCAUGGUGAUGCAUAGCAACAAGAGGGGAGAGUGUUGUCCACGUACCCUCGUAGACCGAAAGCAGAAGCGUUAGCACACCGCGGUUGAUGUAGUCGUACGUCUUCAUGAUCCGACCGAUCAAGUACCGAACGUACGACACCUCCGAGUUCAGCACACGUUCAGCUUGAUGACGUCCCUCGAACUCCGAUCCAGCCGAGCUUCAAGGGAGAGUUCCGUCAGCACGAAGGCGUGGUGACGAUGAUGAUGUUCUACUGACGCAGGGCUUCGCCUAAGCACCGCUACGAUAUUAUCGAGGUGGAAUAUGGUGGAGGGGGGCACUGCACACGGCUAAGAGAUCAAUGAUCAAUUCUUGUGUCUCUAGGGGGUGCCUUCCUCCCCGUAUAUAAAGGAGUGGAGGAGGGGGAGGGGGCCGGCCACCCUUGGUGGGCCCCAUGAGGAGUCCUACUCAAACCGAGAGUAGGACUCCUCCCCUUCCUUGUUGGAGUAGGAGAUGAGAGGGAAGGAGAGAGAGGGGGAAAGGAAAGGGGGGGCGCCGCCCCCUCCUUGUCCAAUUCGGACUGGGGGAGGGGCGCGCGGCUGCCCCUUGGCCGCCUCUCCUCUUCCACCACUUGGGCCCAUGAGGCCCAUUAACCUUCUGGGGGUUCCGGUAACCCGCCGGUACUCCGGUAUAUAUCCGAUAACCCCCAAAACAAUGCCGGUGUCCGAAUAUAGUCGUCCAAUAUAUCAAUCUUCAGGUCUCGACCAUUUCGAGACUCCUCGUCAUGUCCUUGAUCACAUCCGGAACUCCAAACCAUCUUCGAUACAUCAAAACACAUAAACUCAUAAUGUAACCGUCAUCUAACUUUAAGCGUGCAGACCCUACGGGUUCGAGAAACAAUGUAGACAUGACCGAGACACGUCUCCGGUCAAUAACCAAUAGCAGAACCUGGAUGCUCAUAUUGGCUCCCACAUAUUCUACAAAGAUCUUUAUCGGUCAAACCGCAUAACAACAUAUGUUGUUCCCUUUGUCAUCGGUAUGUUACUUGCCCGAGAUUCGAUCGUCGGUAUCUCAAUACUGUUGGGGAACGUUGCAGAAAAUUAAAAAUUUUCCUACGGUUUCACCAAGAUCCAUCUAUGAGUUCAUCUAAGCAACGAGUCAAGGGGAAGAGUUUUCAUCUACAUACCACUUGUAGAUCGAGUGCGGAAGCGUUCAAGGGGAUGGUGAUGAUGGAGUCGUACUCGUCGUGAUUCGGAUCACCGAUGACCAAGUGCUGAACGGACAGCACCUCCGCGUUCAACACACGUACGGGACGGACGACGUCUCCUCCAUCUUAAUCCAGCAAGGAGGAAGGAGAGGUUGAGGAAGGUAGCUCCAACGGCAGCACGACAGCGUGGUGUAGUUGGUGCAGAAGUACUCCGACAGGGCUUCGCCAAGCACGUACGGAGGAGGAGAGGUGUUGGGGAGGGGAGGGGCUGCGCCUUGAGUUAUGUUCUUGCAGCCAUCCCCUCACCCCUCUAUAUAUAGGAGGAGAGGGGCAAGGGGGCCGGCCCUCUAGGGGAAACCCUAGAGGGGGGCGGCGGCCAAAGGGAGAGGGAAAGGGGUGGCUUGCCCCCCAAGCUAGGGGGGCCCCCCUUUAGGGUUUCCCCUUCCCUUGACCUAGCCGCAUGGGCCUAGGUGGGGAGGCGCGCCCAGCCCACUAGGGGCUGGCUCCCUCUCCCACACAGCCCAUGUGGCCCCCCGGGAGGGGUGGCCCCACCCGGUGGACCCCCGGAACCCUUCCGGUGGCCCCGGUACAAUACCGGUAUGCCACCAAAACUUUCCGGUGUCCGUUUAACCACUUUCCAUAUAUAAAUCUUUACCUCUGGACCAUUCCGGAACUCCUCGUGACAUCCGGGAUCUCAUCCGGGACUCCGAACAACAUUCGGUAAUCACAUACUUGUCUUCCUGAUAACCCUAGCGUCACCGAACCUUAAGUGUGUAGACCCUACGGGUUCGGGAGACAUGCAGACAUGACCGAGACGACCUCAGGUCAAUAACCAACAGCGGGAUCUGGAUACCCAUGUUGGCUCCCACAUGCUCCUCGAUGUUGUCAUCGGAUGAACCACGAUGUCGAGGAUUCGAUCAAACCCCGUAUGCAAUUCCCUUUGUCAGACGGUAUGUUACUUGCCCGAGACUCGGUCGUCGGUAUCCCAAUGCCUCGUUCAGUCUCGUUACCGGCAAGUCACUUUACUCGUACCGUAAUGCAUGAUCCCGUGACCAGACACUUGGCCACCUUGAGCUCAUUAUGAUGAUGCACUACCGAGUGGGCCCAGUGAUACCUCUCCGUAACACGGAGUGACAAAUCCCAGUCUCGAUCCGUGUCAACCCAACAGACACUUUCGGAGAUACCUGUAAUGCACCUUUAUAGUCACCCAGUUACGUUGUGACGUUUGGUACACCCAAAGCACUCCUACGGUAUCCGGGAGUUACACGAUCUCAUGGUCUAAGGAAGAGAUACUUGACAUUGGAAAAGCUCUAGCAAACGAACUAACCGACCUUUGUGCUAUGCUUAGGAUUGGGUCUUGUCCAUCACAUCAUUCUCCUAAUGAUGUGAUCCCGUUAUCAACGACAUCCAAUGUCCAUAGCCAGGAAACCAUGACUAUCUGUUGAUCACAACGAGCUAGUCAACUAAAGGCUCACUAGGGACAUAUUGUGGUCUAUGUAUUCACACGUGUAUUACGAUUUCCGGAUAAUACAGUUAUAGCAUGAAUAAAAGACUAUUAUCAUGAACAAAGAAAUAUAAUAAUAACACUUUUAUUAUUGCCUCUAGGGCAUAUUUCCAACAGUCUCCCACUUGCACUAGAGUCAAUAAUCUAGUUACAUAGUGAUGAAUCGAACACCCAUAGAGUUCUGGUGUUGAUCAUGUUUCGCUCGCGAGAGAGGUUUAGUCAACGGAUCUGCGACAUUCAGAUCCGUAUGUACUUUGCAAAUUUCUAUGUCUCCAUCUUGAACAUUUUCACGGAUGGAGUUGAAAUGAUGCUUGAUGUGCCUGGUCUUCUUGUGAAAUCUGGGCUCCUUCGCAAGGGCAAUAGCUCCAGUAUUGUCACAGAAAAGUUUGAUCGGCCCCGACGCAUUGGGUAUGACUCCUAGGUCGGUGAUGAACUCCUUCACCCAAAUAGCUUCAUGUGCUGCCUCCGAGGCUGCCAUGUACUCCGCUUCACAUGUAGAUCCCGCCACGACGCUCUGCUUGCAGCUACACCAGCUUACUGCUCCACCAUUCAACAUAUACACGUAUCCGGUUUGUGACUUAGAGUCAUCCAGAUCUGUAUCGAAGCUAGCGUCGACGUAACCCUUUACGACGAGCUCUUCGUCACCUCCAUAAACGAGAAACAUGUCCUUUGUCUUUUUUAAGUACUUCAGGAUAUUCUUGACCGCUGUCCAGUGUUCCUUGCCGGGAUUACUUUGGUAUCUUCCUACCAAACUUACGGCAAGGUUUACAUCAGGUCUGGUACACAGCAUGGCAUACAUAAUAGAUCAUAUGGCUGAAGCAUAGGGGAUGACGCUCAUCUCUUCUUUAUCUUUUGCCGUGGUCGGGCAUUGAGCCGAGCUCAAUCCCACACCUUGCAGUACAGGCAAGAACCCCUUCUUAGACUGAUCCAUUUUGAACUUCUUCAAAAUCUUAUCAAGGUAUGUGCUUUGUGAAAGACCUAUGAGGCGUCUCGAUUUAUUUCUAUAGAUCUUGAUGCCUAAUAUAUAAGCAGCUUCUCCAAGGUCCUUCAUUGAAAAACACUUAUUCAAGUAGGCCUUAAUGCUGUCCAAGAAUUCUAUAUCAUUUCCCAUCAGGAGUAUGUCAUCUACAUAUAAUAUGAGAAAUGCUACAGAGCUCCCACUCACUUUCUUGUAAACGCAGGCUUCUCCAUAAGUCUGCAUAAACCCAAACGCUUUGAUCAUCUCAUCAAAGCGAAUGUUCCAACUCCGAGAUGCUUGCACCAGCCCAUAAAUGGAUCGCUGGAGCUUGCAUACUUUGUUAGCAUUCUUAGGAUCGACAAAACCCUCUGGCUGCAUCAUAUACAGUUCUUCCUUAAGAUGCCCAUUAAGGAAUGCCGUUUUGACGUCCAUCUGCCAUAUCUCAUAAUCAUAGUAUGCGGCAAUUGCUAACAUGAUUCGGGCGGACUUAAGCUUCGCUACGGGAGAGAAAGUCUCAUCGUAGUCAAUCCCUUGAACUUGCCGAUAACCCUUAGCGACAAGUCGAGCUUUAUAGAUGGUGACAUUACCAUCCGUGUCCGUCUUCUUCUUAAAGAUCCAUUUGUUUUCUAUCACUCGCCGAUCAUCGGGCAAGUCAGUCAAAGUCCAUACUUUGUUUUCAUACAUGGAUUCUAUCUCGGAUUUCAUGGCUUCUAGCCAUUUGUUGGAAUCUGGACCCGCCAUAGCUUCUUCAUAGUUUGAAGGUUCACCGUUGUCUAACAACAUGAUUUCCAGGACAGGGUUGCCGUACCACUCUGGUGCGGAACGUGUCCUUGUGGACCUACGAAGUUCAGUAGCAACUUGAUCCGAAGUACCUUGAUCAUCAUCAUUAUUUUCCUCUUCAGUUGGUGUAGGCAUCACAGGAACAUUUUCCUGAGCUGCACUACUUUCCAGUUCAAGAGGUAGUACUUCAUCGAGUUCUACUUUCCUCCCACUUACUUCUUUCGAGAGAAACUCUUUUUCCAGAAAGGAUUCGUUCUUGGCAACAAAGAUCUUGCCCUCGGAUCUUAAGUAGAAGGUAUACCCAAUGGUUUCCUUAGGGUAUCCUAUGAAGACACAUUUUUCCGACUUGGGUUCGAGCUUUUCAGGUUGAAGUUUCUUGACAUAAGCAUCGCAUCCCCAAACUUUUAGAAACGACAGCUUAGGUUUCUUCCCAAACCAUAAUUCAUAUGGUGUCGUCUCAACGGAUUUAGACGGUGCCCUAUUUAAAGUGAAUGUAGUUGUCUCUAGAGCGUAUCCCCAAAAUGAUAGUGGUAAAUCGGUAAGAGACAUCAUAGACCGCACCAUAUCUAAUAGAGUGCGAUUACGACGUUCGGACACACCGUUACGCUGAGGUGUUCCAGGCGGCGUGAGUUGUGAAACGAUUCCACAUUUCCUUAAGUGUGUACCAAAUUCGUGACUUAAGUAUUCUCCUCCACGAUCUGAUCGUAGGAAUUUUAUCUUUCGGUCACGUUGAUUCUCUACCUCAUUCUGAAAUUCCUUGAACUUUUCAAAGGUCUCAGACUUGUGUUUCAUUAAGUAGACAUACCCAUAUCUACUCAAGUCAUCAGUGAGAGUGAGAACAUAAUGAUAUCCUCCGCGAGCCUCAACACUCAUUGGACCGCACACAUCGGUAUGUAUGAUUUCCAACAAGUUGGUUGCUCGCUCCAUUGUUCCAGAGAACGGAGUCUUGGUCAUCUUGCCCAUGAGGCAUGGUUCGCAUGUGUCAAAUGAUUCAUAAUCGAGAGACUCUAAAAGUCCAUCGGCAUGGAGAUUCUUCAUGCGCUUGACACCAAUGUGACCAAGGCGGCAGUGCCACAAGUAUGUGGGACUAUCGUUAUCAACUUUACAUCUUUUGGUAUUCACGCUAUGAAUAUGUGUAGUAUUACGCUCGAGAUUCAUUAAGAAUAAACCAUUGACCAUCGGAGCAUGACCAUAAAACAUAUCUCUCAUAUAAAUCGAACAACCAUUAUUCUCAGACUUAAAUGAGUAGCCAUCUCGUAUUAAACGAGAUCCAGAUACAAUGUUCAUGCUCAAACUUGGCACUAAAUAACAAUUAUUAAGGUUCAAAACUAAUCCCGUGGGUAAAUGUAGAGGUAGCGUGCCGACGGCGAUCACAUCGACUCUGGAACCAUUCCCGACGCGCAUCGUCACCUCGUCCUUCGCCAGUCUCCGCUUAUUCCGCAGCUCCUGCUGUGAGUUACAAAUAUGAGCAACGGCACCGGUAUCAAAUACCCAGGAGUUACUACGAGUACUGGUAAGGUACACAUCAAUUACAUGUAUAUCAAAUAUACCUUUAGUGUUGCCGGCCUUCUUAUCCGCUAAGUAUUUGGGGCAGUUCCGCUUCCAGUGACCCUUCCCCUUGCAAUAAAAGCACUCAGUCUCAGGCUUGGGUCCAUUCUUUGACUUCUUCCCGGCAACUGGCUUACCGGGCGCGGCAACCUCCUUGCCGUCCUUCUUGAAGUUCUUCUUACCCUUGCCCUUCUUGAACUUAGUGGUCUUAUUGACCAUCAACACUUGAUGUUCUUUCUUGAUUUCAACCUCUGCUGACUUCAGCAUAGAAAAUACUUCAGGAAUGGUCUUUACCAUCCCCUGCAUAUUGCAGUUCAUCACAAAGCUCUUGUAGCUUGGUGGGAGCGACUGAAGGAUUCUGUCAAUGACUGCCUCAUCAAGGAGGUUAAUAUUCAGCUGGGUCAUACGGUUGUGCAACCCAGACAUCUUGAGUAUGUGCUCACUGACAGAACUAUUUUCCUCCAUCUUACAACUAUAGAACUUGUCAGAGAUGUCAUAUCUCUCAACCCGGGCGUGAGCUUGGAAAACUAGUUUCAGCUCUUCGAACAUCUCAUAUGCUUCGUGAUGCUCAAAACGCUUUUGGAGCCCCGGUUCUAAGCUGUAAAGCAUGCCGCACUGAACGAGGGAGUAAUCAUCAGCACAAGACUGCCAAGCAUUCAUAAUGUCUUGGUUCUCUGGGACGGGAGCGUCACCUAGCGGUCCUUCUAGGACAUAUUGUUUCCUGGCAGCUAUGAGGAUGAUCCUCAGGUUCCGGACCCAGUCCGUAUAGUUAUUGCCAUCAUCUUUCAGCUUGGUUUUCUCUAGGGACGUGUUGAAGUUCAAGUUGACAUGAGCGUUGGCCAUUUGAUCUACAAGACAUAUUUGCAAAAGGUUUUAGACUAAGUUCAUGAUAAUUAAGUUCAUGUAAUCAAAUUAUUGAAUGAACUCCCACUCAGAUUAGACAUCCCUCUGGUCAUCUAAGUGUUACACGAUCCGAGUCGACUAGGCCGUGUCCGAUCAUCACGUGAGACGGACUAGUCAUCGUCGGUGAACAUUCUCAUGUUGAUCGUAUCUUCCAUACAACUCGUGUUCGACCUUUCGGUCUCCGUGUUCCGAGGCCAUGUCUGUACAUGCUAGGCUCGUCAAGUUAACCCUAAGUGUUUUUGCAUGUGUAAAACUGUCUUACACCCGUUGUAUGUGAACGUAAGGAUCUAUCACACCCGAUCAUCACGUGGUGCUUCGAAACGACGAACUUUAGCAACGGUGCACAGUUAGGGGGAACACUUUCUUGAAAUUGUUAUAAGGGAUCAUCUUAUUUACUACCGUCGAUCUAAGUAAACAAGAUGCAUAAACAUAAUAAACAUCACAUGCAAUUAUAUAAAGUAGUGACAUGAUAUGGCCAAUAUCAUAUAGCUCCUUUGAUCUUCAUCUUCGGGGCUCCAUGAUCAUCUUGUCACCGGCAUGACACCAUGAUCUCCAUCAUCAUGAUCUCCAUCAUCGUGUCUUCAUGAAGUUGUCACGCCAAUGACUACUUCUACUUCUAUGACUAACGCGUUUAGCAAAUAAAGUAAAGUAGUUUACAUGGCGUUCUUCAAUGACAUGCAGGUCAUACAAAAUAAAGACAACUCCUAUGGCUCCUGCCGGUUGUCAUACUCAUCGACAUGCAAGUCGUGAUUCCUAUUACAAGAACAUGAUCUCAUACAUCACAAUAUAUCAUUCAUCAUUCAUCACAACUUCUGGCCAUAUCACAUCACAUGACAAUUGCUGCAAAAAGAAGUUAGACGUCCUUAAUUGUUGUUGCAUCUUUUACGUGGCUGCAAUUGGGUUCUAGCAAGAACGUUUCCUUACCUACGAAUAACCACAACGUGAUCUUGUCAACGUCUAUUUACCCUUCAUAAGGACCCUUUUCAUCGAAUCAGCUCCAACUAAAGUGGGAGAGACAGACACCCGCCAGCCACCUUAUGCAACUAGUGCAUGUCAGUCGGUGGAACCGGUCUCACGUAAGCGUACGUGUAAGGUUGGUCCGGGCCGCUUCAUCCCACAAUACCGCUAAAGCAAGAUAAGACUAGUAGCGGCAAGCAAGUUGAAAAGAUCCACGCCCACAACAAAAUUGUGUUCUACUCGUGCAAUAGAGAACUACGCAUAAACCUGGCUCUGAUACCACUAUUGGGGAACGUUGCAGAAAAUUAAAAUUUUUCCUACGGUUUCACCAAGAUCCAUCUAUGAGUUCAUCUAAGCAACGAGUCAAGGGGAAGAGUUUUCAUCUACAUACCACUUGUAGAUCGAGUGCGAAAGCGUUCAAGGGGAUGGUGAUGAUGGAGUCGUACUCGUCGUGAUUCGGAUCACCGAUGACCAAGUGCUGAACGGACAGCACCUCCGCGUUCAACACACGUACGGGACGGACGAUGUCUCCUCCGUCUUGAUCCAGCAAGGAGGAAGGAGAGGUUGAGGAAGGCAGCUCCAACGGCAGCACGACGGCGUGGUGUAGUUGGUGCAGAAGUACUCCGACAGGGCUUCGCCAAGCACGUACGGAGGAGGAGAGGUGUUGGGGAGGGGAGGGGUUGCGCCUUGAGUUGUGUUCUUGCAGCCCUCCCCUCACCCCUCUAUAUAUAGGAGGAGAGGGGCAAGGAGGCCGGCCCUCUAGGGGAAACCCUAGAGGGGGGCGGCGGCCAAAGGGAGAGGGAAAGGGGUGGCUUGCCCCCCAAGCUAGGGGGGCGCCCCCUUUAGGGUUUCCCCUCCCCUUGACCUAGCCGCAUGGGCCUAGGUGGGGAGGCGCACCCAGCCCACUAGGGGCUGGCUUCCUCUCCCACACAGCCCAUGUGGCCCCCCGGGAGGGGUGGCCCCACCCGGUGGACCCCCGGAACCCUUCCGGUGGCCCCGGUACAAUACAGGUAUGCCACCGAAACUUUCCGGUGUCCGUUUAACCACUUUCCAUAUAUAAAUCUUUACCUCCGGACCAUUCCGGAACUCCUCGUGACGUCCGGGAUCUCAUCCGGGACUCCGAACAACAUUCGGUAAUCACAUACUUGUCUUCCUGAUAACCCUAGCGUCACCGAACCUUAAGUGUGUAGACCCUACGGGUUCGGGAGACAUGCAGACAUGACCGAGACGACCUCAGGUCAAUAACCAACAGCGGGAUCUGGAUACCCAUGUUGGCUCCCACAUGCUCCUCGAUGUUGUCAUCGGAUGAACCACGAUGUCGAGGAUUCGAUCAAACCCCUAUGCAAUUCCCUUUGUCAGACGGUAUGUUACUUGCUCGAGACUCGAUCGUCGGUAUCCCAAUACCUCGUUCAGUCUCGUUACCGGCAAGUCACUUUACUCGUACCGUAAUGCAUGAUCCCGUGACCAGACACUUGGCCACCUUGAGCUCAUUAUGAUGAUGCACUACCGAGUGGGCCCAGUGAUACCUCUCCGUAACACGGAGUGACAAAUCCCAGUCUCGAUCUGUGUCAACCCAACAGACACUUUCGGAGAUACCUGUAAUGCACCUUUAUAGUCACCCAGUUACGUUGUGACGUUUGGUACACCCAAAGCACUCCUACGGUAUCCGGGAGUUACACAAUCUCGUGGUCUAAGGAAGAGAUACUUGACAUUGGAAAAGCUCUAGCAAACGAACUAACCGACCUUUGUGCUAUGCUUAGGAUUGGGUCUUGUCCAUCACAUCAUUCUCCUAAUGAUGUGAUCCCGUUAUCAACGACAUCCAAUGUCCAUAGCCAGGAAACCAUGACUAUCUGUUGAUCACAACGAGCUAGUCAACUAGAGGCUCAUUAGGGACAUAUUGUGGUCUAUGUAUUCACACGUGUAUUACGAUUUCCGGAUAAUACAGUUAUAGCAUGAAUAAAAGACUAUUAUCAUGAACAAAGAAAUAUAAUAAUAACACUUUUAUUAUUGCCUCUAGGGCAUAUUUCCAACAAAUACCUAGUUCAAUCUCGUUACCGGCAAGUCUCUUUACUCGUUACGUAAUGCAUCAUCCCGUAACUAACUCAUUAGCUACAUUGCUUGCAAGGCUUAUAGUGACGUGCAUUACUGAGAGGGCCCAGGGAUACCUCUCCGACAAUCAGAGUGACAAAUCCUAAUCUCGAAAUACGCCAACUCAACAUGUACCUUCGGAGACACCUGUAGAGCUCCUUUAUAAUCACCCAGUUACGUUGUGACGUUUGGUAGCACACAAAGUGUUCCUCCGGUAAAUGGGAGUUGCAUAAUCUCAUAGUCAUAGGAACAUGUAUAAGUCAUGAAGAAAGCAAUAACAACAUACUAAAUGAUCAAGUGCUAAGCUAACAGAAUGGGUCAAGUCAAUCACAUCAUUCUCCUAAUGAUGUGAUCCCGUUAAUCAAAUGACAACUCAUGUCUAUGGUUAGGAAACACAACCAUCUUUGAUCAACGAGCUAGUCAAGUAGAGGCAUACUAGUGACACUAUGUUUGUCUAUGUAUUCACACAUGUAUUAUGUUUCCGGUUAAUACAAUUCUAGUGUGAAUAAUAAACAUUUAUCAUGAUAUGAGGAAAUAUAUAAUAACUUUAUUAUUGCCUCUAGGGCAUAUUUCCUUCGGUCUCCCACUUGCACUAGAGUCAAUAAUCUAGAUUAUACAGUAAUGAUUCUAACACCCAUGGAGCCUUGGUGCUGAUCAUGUUUUGCUCAUGGAAGAGGCUUAGUCAAUGGGUCUGCAACAUUCAGAUCCGUAUGUAUCUUGCAAAUCUCUAUGUCUCCCACCUGGACUUGGUCCCGGAUGGAAUUGAAGCAUCUCUUGAUGUGCUUGGUUCUCUUGUGAAAUCUAGAUUCCUUUGCCAAGGCAAUUGCACCAGUAUUGUCACAAAAGAUUUUCAUUGGAUCCGAUGCACUAGGUAUGACACCUAGAUCGGAUAUGAACUCCUUCAUCCAGACUCCUUCAUUUGUUGCUUCUGAAGCAGCUAUGUACUCCGCUUCACAUGUAGAUCCCGCCACGCCGUUUUGUUUAGAACUGCACCAACUGACAGCCCCACUAUUCAAUAUAAACAUGUAUCCGGUUUGCGAUUUAGAAUCAUCUGGAUCAGUGUCAAAGCUUGCAUCGACGUAACCAUUUACGACUAGCUCUUUAUCACCUCCAUAAACGAGAAACAUAUCCUUAGUCCUUUUCAGGUAUUUCAGGAUAUUCUUGACCGCUGUCCAGUGAUCCACUCCUGGAUUACUUUGGUACUUCCCUGCUAAACUUAUUGCUAAGCAUACAUCAGGUCUGGUACACAGCAUUGCAUACAUGAUAGAGCCUAUGGCUGAAGCAUAGGGAACAUCUUUCAUUUUCUCUCUAUCUUCUGCUGUGGUCGGGCAUUGAGUCCGACUCAACUUCACACCUUGUAACACAGGCAAGAACCCUUUCUUUGCUUGAUCCAUUUUGAACCUUUUCAAAACUUUAUCAAGGUAUGUGCUUUGUGAAAGUCCAAUUAAGCGUCUUGAUCUAUCUCUAUAGAUCUUGAUGCCUAAUAUAUAAGCAGCUUCACCGAGGUCUUUCAUUGAAAAACUUUUAUUCAAGUAUCCUUUUAUGCUAUCCAGAAAUUCUAUAUCAUUUCCAAUCAACAAUAUGUCGUCUACAUAUAAUAUCAGAAAUGCUACAGAGCUCCCACUCACUUUCUUGUAAAUACAGGCUUCUCCAAAAGUCUGUAUAAAACCAUAUGCUUUGAUCACACUAUCAAAACGUUUAUUCCAACUCCGAGAGGCUUGCACCAAUCCAUAAAUGGAUCGCUGGAGCUUGCACACUUUGUUAGCACCUUUUGGAUCGACAAAACCUUCUGGUUGCAUCAUAUACAACUCUUCUUCUAGAAAUCCAUUCAGGAAUGCAGUUUUGACAUCCAUUUGCCAUAUUUCAUAAUCAUAAAAUGCGGCAAUUGCUAACAUGAUUCGGACAGACUUAAGCAUCGCUACGGGUGAGAAAGUCUCAUCGUAGUCAACCCCUUGAACUUGUCAAAAACCUUUCGCAACAAGUCGAGCUUUGUAGACAGUAACAUUACCAUCAGCGUCAGUCUUCUUCUUGAAGAUCCAUUUAUUCUCGAUAGCUUGCCGAUCAUCGGGCAAGUCAACCAAAGUCCAUACUUUGUUCUCAUACAUGGAUCCCAUCUCAGAUUUCAUGGCCUCAAGCCAUUUUGCGGAAUCUGGGCUCAUCAUCGCUUCCUCAUAGUUCGUAGGUUCACCAUGGUCAAGUAACAUGACCUCCAGAAUAGGAUUACCGUACCACUCUGGUGUAGAUCUUACUCUGGUUGACCUACGAGGUUUGGUAGUAACUUGAUCUGAAGUUUCAUGAUCAAUAUCAUUAGCUUCCUCACUAAUUGGUGUAGUUGUCACAGGAACCGGUUUCUGUGAUGAACUACUUUCCAAUAAGGGAGCAGGUACAGUUACCUCAUCAAGUUCUACUUUCCUCCCACUCACUUCUUUCAAGAGAAACUCCUCUAUAAAGGAUCUGAAUUUAGCAACAAAAGUCUUGCCUUCAAAUCUGUGAUAGAAGGUGUACCCAAUAGUCUUCUUUGGGUAUCCUAUGAAGACACAUUUCUUCGAUUUGGGUUCGAGCUUAUCAGGUUGAAGUUUUUUCACAUAAGCAUCGCAGCCCCAAACUUUGAGAAACGACAACUUUGAUUUCUUGCCAAACCAAAGUUCAUAAGGCAUCGUCUCAACGGAUUUUGAUGGUGCCCUAUUUAACAUGAAUGCGACCGUCUCUAAAGCAUAAUCCCAAAAUGAUAGCGGUAAAUCAGUAAGAGACAUCAUAGAUCACACCAUAUCUAGUAAAGUACGAUUACGACGUUCGGACACACCAUUACGUUGUGGUGUUCCGGGUGGCGUGAGUUGCGAAAAUAUUCCGCAUUGUUUCAAAUGUAAACUCGUAACUCAAGUAUUCUCCUCCACGAUCAGAUCGUAGAAAUUUUAUUUUUCUUGUUACGAUGACUUUCCACUUCACUCUGAAAUUCUUUAAACUUUUCAAAUGUUUCAGACUUAUGUUUCAUUAAGUAGAGAUACCCAUAUCUGCUCAAAUCAUCUGUGAAGGUGAGAAAAUAACGAUACCCACCGCGUGCCUCAAUGUUCAUUGGACCACAUACAUCAGUAUGUAUGAUUUCCAACAAAUCUAUUGCUUGCUCCAUAGUUUCGGAGAACGGCGUUUUAGUCAUCUUGCCCAUGAGGCAUGGUUCGCAAGUACCAAGUGAUUCAUAAUCAAGUGAUUCUAGAAGUCCAUCAGUAUGGAGUUUCUUCAUGCGCUUUACACCAGUAUGACCCAAACUGCAGUGCCACAAAUAAGUUGCACUAUCAUUAUCAACUCUGCAUCUUUUGGCUUCAAUAUUAUGAAUAUGUGUAUCACUACUAUCGAGAUUCAAUAAAAAUAGACCACUCUUCAAGGGUGCAUGACCAUAAAAGAUAUUACUCAUAUAAAUAGAACAACCAUUAUUCUCUGAUUUAAAUGAAUAACCGUCUCGCGUCAAACAAGAUCCAGAUAUAAUGUUCAUGCUUAACGCUAGCACCAAAUAACAAUUAUUCAGGUCUAAAACUAAUCCCGAAGGUAGAUGUAAAGGUAGAGUGCCGACCGCGAUCACAUCGACUUUGGAACCAUUUCCCACGUGCAUCGUCACCUCGUCCUUAGCCAAUCUUUGCUUAAUCCAUACUCCCUGUUUCGAGUUGCAAAUAUGAGCAACAGAACCAGUAUCAAAUACCCAGGUGCUACUGCGAGCAUUAGUAAGGUACACAUCAAUAACAUGUAUAUCACAUAUACCUUUGUUCACCUUGCCAUCCUUCUUAUCCGCCAAAUACUUGGGGCAGUUCUGCUUCCAGUGACCAGUCUGCUUGCAGUAGAAGCACUCAGUCUCAGGUUUAGGUCCAGACUUGGGUUUCUUCUCUUGAGCAGCAACUUGCUUGUUGUUCUUCUUGAAGUUCCCCUUCUUUUUCCCUUUCCCCUUUUUCUUGAAACUGGUGGUCUUGUUGACCAUCGACACUUGAUGCUCCUUUUUGAUUUCUACCUCCGCAGCUUUUAGCAUUGCGAAGAGCUCGGGAAUAGUCUUGUUCAUCCCUUGCAUAUUAUAGUUCAUCACGAAGCUCUUGUAGCUUGGUGGCAGUGACUGAAGAAUUCUGUCAAUGACACUAUCAUCAGGAAGAUUAACUCCUAGUUGAAUCAAGAGAUUAUUAUACCCAGACAUUUUGAGUAUAUGUUCACUGACAAAACUAUUCUCCUCCAUCUUGUAGCUAUAGAACUUAUUGGAGACUUCAUAUCUCUCAAUCCGGGCAUUUGCUUGAAAUAUUAACUUCAACUCCUGGAACAUCUCAUAUGCUCCAUGACGUUCAAAACGUCGUUGAAGUCCCGGUUCUAAGCUGUAAAGCAUGGCACACUAAACUAUCGAGUAGUCAUCAGCUUUGCUCUGCCAGACGUUCUUAACGUUGUCAGUUGCAUCUGCAGCAGGCCUGGCACCCAGCGGUUCUUCCAGGACGUAAUUCUUCUGUGCGGCAAUGAGGAUAAUACUCAAGUUACGGACCCAGUCCAUGUAAUUUCUACCAUCAUCUUUCAACUUAGCUUUCUCAAGGAAUGCAUUAAAAUUCAACGGAACAACAGCACGAGCCAUCUAUCUACAACAAACAUAGACAAGCAAAAUACUAUCAGGUACUCAUGAUAAAUUUAAGUUCAAUUCAUCAUAUUACUUAAGAACUCCCACUUAGAUAGACAUCCCUCUAAUCAUCUAAGUGAUCGCGUGAUCCAAAUCAACUAAACCAUGUCCGAUCAUCACGUGAGAUGGAGUAGUUUUCAAUGGUGAACAUCACUAUGUUGAUCAUAUCUACUAUAUGAUUCACGCUCGACCUUUCGGUCUCAGUGUUCCGAGGCCAUAUCUGUAUAUGCUAGGCUCGUCAAGUUUAACCUGAGUAUUCUACGUGUGCAACUAUUUUGCACCCGUUGUAUUUGAACGUAGAGCCUAUCACACCCGAUCAUCACGUGGUGUCUCAGCACGAAGAACUUUCGCAACGGUGCAUACUCAGGGAGAACACUUAUACCUUGAAAUUUAGUGAGAGAUCAUCUUAUAAUGCUACCAUCAAUCAAAGAAAAAUAAGAUGCAUAAAGGAUAAACAUCACAUGUAAUCAAUAUAAGUGAUAUGAUAUGGCCAUCAUCAUCUUGUGCUUGUAAUCUCCAUCUCCGAAGCACCGUCAUGAUCACCACCGUUACUGGCGCGACACCUUGAUCUCCAUCGUAGCAUAGUUGUUGUUUCGCCACCUAUUGCUUCUACAACUAUCGCUACCGCUUAGUGAUAAAGUAAAGCAAUUACAAGGCGAUUGCAUUGCAUACAAUAAAGCGGCAACCAUAUGGCUCCUACCAGUUGCUGAUAACUCGGUUACAAAACAUGAUCAUCUCAUACAAUAAAAUAUAGCAUCACGUCUUGACCAUAUCACAUCACAACAUGCCCUGCAAAACAAGUUAGACGUCCUCUACUUUGUUGUUGCAAGUUUUACGUGGCUGCUACGGGCUGAGCAAGAACCGUUCUUACCUACGCAUCAAAACCACAAUGAUAGUUCGUCAAGUUAGUGUUGUUUUAACCUUCUCAAGGACUCGGCGUAGCCACACUCGGUUCAACUAAAGUUGGAGAAACUGACACCCGCCAGCCACCUAUGUGCAAAGCACGUUGGUAGAACCAGUCUUGCGUAAGCGUACGCGUAAUGUCGGUCCGGGCCGCUUCAUCCAACAAUACCGCCGAACCAAAGUAUGACAUGCUGGUAAGCAGUAUGACUUGUAUCACCCACAACUCACUUGUGUUCUACUCGUGCAUAUAACAUCUACGCAUAAAACCAGGCUCAGAUGCCACUGUUGGGGAACAUAGUAAUUUCAAAAAAAUUCCUACGCACACACAAGAUCAUGGUGAUGCAUAGCAACGAGAGGGGAGAGUGUUGUCCAUGUACCCUCGUAGACCGAAAGCGGAAGCGUUAGCACAACGUGGUUGAUGUAGUCGUACGUAUUCACGAUCCGAUCGAUCAAGUACAGAACAUACGGCACCUCCGAGUUCAGCACACGUUCAGCUUGAUGACGUCCCUCGAACUCCGAUCCAGCCGAGCUUCGAGGGAGAGUUCCGUCAGCAUGAUGGUGUGGUGACAAUGAUGAUGUUCUACAGAUGCAGGGCUUCACCUAAGCACCGCUAUGAUAUUAUCAAGGUGGCAUAUGAUGGAGGGGGGCACCGCACACGGCUAAGAGAUCAAUGAUCAAUUCUUGUGUCUCUAGGGGGUGCCUUCCUCCCCGUAUAUAAAGGAGUGGAGGAGGGGGAGGGGGUCGGCCACCCUUGGUGCGCCCCAUGAGGAGUCCUACUCCCAUCGGGAGUAGGACUCCCCCCUUCCUUGUUGGANNNNNNNNNNNNNNNNNNNNNNNNNNNNNNNNNNNNNNNNNNNNNNNNNNNNNNNNNNNNNNNNNNNNNNNNNNNNNNNNNNNNNNNNNNNNNNNNNNNNNNNNNNNNNNNNNNNNNNNNNNNNNNNNNNNNNNNNNNNNNNNNNNNNNNNNNNNNNNNNNNNNNNNNNNNNNNNNNNNNNNNNNNNNNNNNNNNNNNNNNNNNNNNNNNNNNNNNNNNNNNNNNNNNNNNNNNNNNNNNNNNNNNNNNNNNNNNNNNNNNNNNNNNNNNNNNNNNNNNNNNNNNNNNNNNNNNNNNNNNNNNNNNNNNNNNNNNNNNNNNNNNNNNNNNNNNNNNNNNNNNNNNNCUCCGGUAUAAAUCCGAUAACCCCCGAAACCAUUCCGGUGUCCGAAUAUAGUCAUCCAAUAUAUCAAUCUUCAUGUCUCGACCAUUUCGAGACUCCUCAUCAUGUCCGUGAUCACAUCCGGGACUCCGAACUAUCUUCGGUACAUCAAAACACAUAAACUCAUAAUGUAAUCGUUGUCUAACUUUAAGCGUGCGGACCCUACGGGUUCGAGAACUAUGCAGACAUGACCAAGACACGUCUCCGGUCAAUAACCAAUAGCGGAACCUAGAUGCUCAUAUUGGCUCCCACAUAUUCUACGAAGAUCUUUAUCGGUCAAACCGCAUAACAACAUACGUUGUUCCCUUUGUCAUCGGUAUGUUACUUGCCCGAGAUCCGAUCGUCGGUAUCUCAAUACCUAGUUCAAUCUCGUUAUCGGAAAGUCUCUUUACUCGUUACGUAAUGCAUCAUCCCGUAACUAACUCAUUAGCUAUAUUGCUUGCAAGGCUUAUAGUGACGUGCAUUAUUGAGAGGGCCCAGGGAUACCUCUCCGACAAUCAGAGUGACAAAUCCUAAUCUCGAAAUACGCCAACUCAACAUGUACCUUCGGAGACACCUGUAGAGCUCCUUUAUAAUCACCCGGUUACGUUGUGACGUUUGGUAGCACACAAAGUGUUCCUUCGGUAAACGGGAGUUGCAUAAUCUCAUAGUCAUAGGAACAUGUAUAAGUCAUGAAGAAAGCAAUAGCAACAUACUAAACGAUCAAGUGCUAAGCUAACGGAAUGGGUCAAGUCAAUCACAUCAUUCUCCUAAUGAUGUGAUCCCGUUAAUCAAAUGAAAACUCAUGUCUAUGGUUAGGAAACACAACCAUCUUUGAUCAACGAGCUAGUCAAGUAGAGGCAUACUAGUGACACUAUGUUUGUGUAUGUAUUCACACAUGUAUUAUGUUUCCGGUUAAUACAAUUCUAGCAUGAAUAAUAAGCAUUUAUCAUGAUAUGAGGAAAUAAAUAAUAACUUUAUUAUUGCCUCUAGGGCAUAUUUCCUUCACCUUCAAUGGUGGAGCCCUCCGUGGACUCGCGCAACCGUUACCCUUCAUGGGUUGAAGUCUCCAUCAACGUAGAUGUACGAUAGCACCACCUAUCAGAACCGCGGAUAAAAAAUCUCCGUGUCUCCAAAUUGCGUUUGCACACUCCAAUCCCAUCCCUUUACAUUCUUGCAAUUUGCAUGCUUUACUUUCCGCUGCUCAUAUACUCUUGUCAUGCUUGCUUGAUAUGUAUUGUGAAUGUUAAAACUUGUGCCAAAACUCCACUUCAACUUAAAGAGAUUAAAAACUGCAACUUUUCUUACUUAGAGUUUAUUCACCCCCCCCCCCCUCUAGACACCUCUUCUCGAUCCUUUCAAUCAGCUUGCCGGUCGCGGCCAGCUCAUCGGCGAGGCCACUCAUGAAGGCGAAGUAGGUAGCAGCGGGCUGGGUCCUUUAUGCGCAUUGAUGAGGGAGGUACGGAUGUUGUUUACGCGGCUCAGUGACUGCGACGAGUACAUGCCCACCAGCAUCGUCCAGAGCGCAUGCGCCAUGGUGACUGUGGUCACCGUGACCAACACCUCCUUGGAGAGGUUGCUCAGCAGGUAACUGAGCACUUACUGGUCCUCUCGGAGCCAGAUAGGGUGGAGAGGGUUGGGCACGAAUGUCUCCUUGCCGUCCUUGUCCUUGCCGGCGAGGAGCUUGGCCGACUCCGGUGAUGUGCCGUCGAUGAAGCCGAAGACACCGGCGCCACACAGUUGGGGUGUGAUCUGCGUGCGCCACAACACGUAGUUCGUGCGGGAAAGCUUCUCGAUGACCUGCCCAUUGAGAUUGGACUGGGUGACGCCGGAGGAGGAAGACAUGGUUUCGGCACAGGUGGAGUCAAUGGAGCUAGAUGGGAAGUAGGAAGGCUCUGAUUACCAUGUGCGUUGGCGGAAACGUCUUGCCCGAUCUAGGGCGACGUGUUGCAUGUUAAAUAGGUAGGGUGUGAUCCUGGCAUAUGCGUACAUAGUUUGUUGAGAUACAACUUGUAGAGGAAGAAAUACAAGAGAUAAGCUAGGAAAGAAGUUACAGAAUAUAUCAUAUGCGUGCACCUAGCUACCUCAAUAUCUCUCUAACUGAAUAAUCUUCUCAACCUUCUAUAUGUCACGUAUAACAUAUGUUUAACACCCCCUACCAAUUAUAUGUGAAGGCAACUGGCAUGAUGUAGCUGUAGGAAAUAUCCCUAUGCACAAUGAAGUUCAGCAGGCUGAAGUUAUCAACAAUGUUAACCAAAUCCCCAACCUGAAUGAUGAUCAUGUCAUGGAGCAGAGACACAACAUGAAUGACCACAUCAUUGGUAACAUUGAUGCUGAUGUGGAGAUGCCAGACACUCCACCCCCACGCAGAACUCUUCACACACCACUGGUUAUGCAUAUGAGGACCUUGCUAAGAUUGUCUCUGUUUAUCAAUUUAUCAGUUUACUGAACAGUAACCAGGUAACAGGUGCUUGGUGUAAAAUUGUUGAUGUGCAAGAAGAUGGUGGUAUAAGGGGAAAUGGUUUUAUUCAGAUCAGCACCACUUGCUCCUCCGAAACCACCGAAUCCUCUGUUAGAGAAGUUACUGAAUUAUCCUCUGAGUUGCAUGCUCACACUUGCCUUCCUGCCCUGCCAUUGAACAAGCGCAAGAAAACUAUACCUGUUGAUGAUGCUCUUGUCAGGAGAAGCGGUAUACUUGCUAAGCUCAAUGAUGGCUUCACGAACCCUGCAUGGAGGCUGCUCUGACUGAACACACUGAGAAGCAGAAGAAGAUCCCCAAGAUGAGUCAGAACGUGUCUGUGAACUUGGAGCCGCAAUUUGAAGCUUCAAUGAUGGACAAAAAUGCUUGGCCUCCUCCUCACGUAUCUACAAUCCAGUGCAUGGCUACUGAGCAGAGCAAGAUUCCUGCUAAUCAGGUGUCUGCAGAUGCUCUGAACUAUGACAGUUCUAAUGACAGUGUGUGAUCUGUCAUCUUAUUGGGCUGUGAGCAAGCCUCAUUCUGAUUGCUCAGUUGUCUUACUUAUUUGUGUUAGCAAACCCUUUGGUUAUCUUUAUGUUGGUUCAUGGGCAGUUAUGUGUUUGAACUUAUAUCUGUGUGCUGAAUUAUCUGAGAUCUGCCGCUCCGUAACGAACACUAUCAGUAUAUAGUCUAUUUGCAUUUACCAGUGUCUCUCAUUCUGCCUGCUUGAGUAUCUGUGAGGGGCAUUAACUCCCAGGAUAGAUGGAAUGAUAUCAGGUUUAAAAAAAAUGAGAGCAACAGCAACAUCAUCUGCUCUUAGGAACUUUUGUCCCAGGAGACUUGGACAGUUGGUUUGCUUUUUCACCCUCUGUAGGGGCUUCUGGUGGUUUGAUUAUUAUUUGGAAUGGAUCAAUCCUUACAGGAACAAUUAUUACCCAGUCAUACUUUCAGAUCACAGUGCAAUUUAAGUGUAAUAUCAGCAACACAGUAUGGUACCUUACCAAUGUUUAUGGCCCUAAUAGUAGAAGGAAAAACUGGAUUUUCUGACUGAGUAUUUAACUUGGAUACCUCCAAUAUGGACAACUGAAUUAUUAUGGGCGACUUUAACUAGGGCCUGAAAACAGAGACAGAGCUGGAGGCGACCACCUUGGUAUGCUCCAUUACAACUCUAUCAUCCAGCAUUAUGAUUUAGUUGAAAUUCCCCUAAAUGGGAGACCUUUCACUAGAAGCAACAUGUGGGAGAGACUUGACUGGGUAUUCACAUCCCCUGCUUCGACCUCAAUCUUUCCCAACACUUUCGCUAUCCCUAUGGCUAGAAUCACAUCUGAUCAUGUGCCUAUCAAAAUUCAAGUUGACAAUAAAAUUCCUAAAUCCCAAAUUUUUAGAUUUGAGGAAUUUUGGGUGGAGUUUGAGGGAUUUUUUCAGGUGGUAGAGAAUGCUUGGCAUAAUUCUAUCUUCUACAGUAACUCUGCCAUCUGGACAUUAUGAGAGUUUUGAGGUAUCCUUUGGAGAUGCCCUUAGCCCAAAGGGUUGCUCAGAAGAAUCGGAAAACCAAACUGCCAUGCACACGAUGUUUACACACAGCACUUGAAUCAAACGGGGUAUGAGUGAUGGUGAGCGUGCCGGCUGUAAAUUGGCAGCAGGAUUGUCGUUCGUAUAGCAGCACUCAUCAGAAAAUAGCAAGAUCAUAAAAAAGAUAGAAACAGAUGCAUCGCGAACUAAUUUAAUUUGGUGAUUGAAGUAAGUUGAAAAAAAAAAACGAUGCAGCCAGGCUAUGUUCCGGGAAUUAUCCACUAUCUUGCCAUUCACCAGAUUCUUCAGUCUGUAGGCUCCAGAAGUUAGCACCGAGUAAUUCCUAAAUAUAUCACAUGCGAGAAUAAAGAAUUUUCUAUAGCAUAUUUCCACAAAUUUUGUGUUCUUUUAUUGUGUCAUGUCUUCUUGUCCACAUGCAAAAAAAAAAAAAAAAGAUCGUCUGUUAUAUUUCAUGAUUGAGUUUCUUGUAUUAAGCAAGAGAAUAUUUUAUACUUNNNNNNNNNNNNNNNNNNNNNNNNNNNNNNNNNNNNNNNNNNNNNNNNNNNNNNNNNNNNNNNNNNNNNNNNNNNNNNNNNNNNNNNNNNNNNNNNNNNNNNNNNNNNNNNNNNNNNNNNNNNNNNNNNNNNNNNNNNNNNNNNNNNNNNNNNNNNNNNNNNNNNNNNNNNNNNNNNNNNNNNNNNNNNNNNNNNNNNNNNNNNNNNNNNNNNNNNNNNNNNNNNNNNNNNNNNNNNNNNNNNNNNNNNNNNNNNNNNNNNNNNNNNNNNNNNNNNNNNNNNNNNNNNNNNNNNNNNNNNNNNNNNNNNNNNNNNNNNNNNNNNNNNUAUACUUCAUUAUGUUCAUCAACUUCUAACUUUUGAUUAAAUUAUGUAUUUUAGUUAUAUGUUUGACCAAAUAUAUGUGAAUAGCUUCCACAAACAAUGGUGAAAGAUUACCCUAAUGAAACAUUAUUUGCUCUCUCCAUUAUUAGGAUAUAUGUAGGGAGGCCUGCUACGCCAAAAGCGAGAAAAACUCCAUCCCUUUCGAAAAAAGUUUAGUUCAAUACGACUACAAUAAUUGUUCACUAUAAUCACUACUAGUCUUCAAAGCUACAAUAUUCAAGUCAAUUUCAAUUUAUGCUGCUCCAUGCUUAAUUAAAAGGAACUUACAUGAGAUAGCAUGUGAUAAUUCAUGGUACUACAAUGAUAACUCUGUCCUCAUAGGGGCAACUGUAAACUGGAAUUAUAAACAAAUACUACAAAAUCACUAGAGGUGAUUCUAAAUUGGUUCUUCGUUCUUCAAUGUGAGUUAAAAACAGCAUGAUCAAUGCUACAAUGAUUCUUGUUGUUGCUGAAGGCUGCAACGACACCGUUUAAAAUAUAUGCAGGCAAAAGGCAAAACAAAGGCAUAAUUCAGUGAAAGUGCAUCCUAUCCUUCCCGCACAUGAACUGGAAUGGUGAAAGGUUGUACCUCUGACCUUGGCGGUUGUAGUAGCUUAGUAGGUUCUGGUAGAUGGUGAAGCAAGAAGGACAAGACGGUCUUACAUUCGCGAACAGGGUAGCACAACCUAUGUUCUACAUCUGUUCAUAAAUAAGACAUUUUGAUAGUGUAGAUUUAACUGCCAAAACAUCUUAUAUUUAGGAAGAGGGAGUAUUACUCUGUUGGCACAACAGUUCGCUCCACAAAAUACACACAACAACUAAGAAGUCAUCAAUCAUUCACAGCAGUAGAAUGGGCACACCCAAAAAGGAUACCUGUAAUGCUCAGAAAUGCACAGAGUAGACAUGCUCUUGCCAACCAUUGAAAUGACUCUAAGCCCAUGGCAAAACAAACUCUCAAGAGUUCAACAAGGAAUUCAAGAUACAAUAUAUUAAAGGUUCCAGAACCAAAACAUUAUCUAGGGCAAAACAUCAUCCAAGGUAAUCGUCUAAACAAGAACACUCCUUAAGAUUGUGGAAAUGGACCAACACAGUAGUAGCAAAGCUAUGCGGGAUCUUUGUGAAGCAGCUUAUCGCUUCUUGGAGACACCAACAGUCUUUCCUCUCCUGCCGGUAGUCUUUGUGUGCUGACCACGGACACGCACGCCCCAGUAGUGACG
rnacentral:lncRNA from 1 species